UUUUUUUUUUUUUUUUUCAGUUAAUUAUUUAGUUUUACAAAUACCUAUGCAUGUGCCCUAGUUAGUAUUUCCUACCCCCGUAAAGUAGAUUUGGUCUCUCUAUCGAGCUCUCUCUCUAUAGUUCAUUCCUUACAGAUUUAUGUUCGAACUUUCAGUGCAUCAUCCGGAUUAUCACUCCAAAAGGCUUCUUUUUUCUUCUUUUUUGUCUUUUUAUCUUUUUUGAAGCUCCACAGAGUUAUUUUGUAUCAUAUUAAUCCAAUGAUCAAGUUCAACUAUCUAUUUUCAUAUCCCCAUUUAUCAUAUAUUAUUUACAUACAAGUAAGAAAAAUUAGUGAUCAUACAAGCAUAACUACACACCGGGCUAUGUUUAAGUGUGUUUCUUAUACAAGCAUUACUUAUUCUAGACUAAUCUAAACUGCGGGAAAGAAAAUUCAAAAUCGAGUACAUAAAGAAAGCACAUAAGCUCUAACUAAUAUGACUGCGACUAGUGCCAUCGUUUGCUGCUAAGUUCAAGUGUUUUAAUUAAUUAAGAGGUUCCUUUUCCCACUUCCUCUCCAUCUUGCAUUAAUUUACAUGGUUUUUAAUGUUGCAAAAGGUUCCUAAUUCUCAGCCAAGAACAACUAUUUGAAGCAAUAUAGCUCUAAAAGCAGUAUUAAAUCAGCUUAGAACCAUGUUUUUCCCUAAAACCUAUUAAGAAAAUGGCCAGCCCACUAUUUCAAAGUUUUUGAGAUUAAACUUGCCACAAGCAUCUAUCAUCAAAUGGAAGAAUGCAGACUCAACUCCAUCACACCCAUGGACCACCUUUGUUUUCUCUCUCUACUCUCUCUCCCUCUCCUUCUAGAGAAUUAGCCAAAUUGCAAUUUGGCCCCCAUCACCAUUCCCUUUAACAAUUAAUAUCUUUGAGGUUUGACCAACUUAAUGGUCAAAUAAAAUACAUCUUUACUAAGCCUCUGUUGCCUUUGCACAUGGAUAGAAGCCACAAAACCCUCCAUGAAAAUUACAGUUAAGUCUUCUCUGUAAAGCAAUACCUAAAAAGGGUUCAAAACUUUUGCCUUUUGGAGUGAUAAUUUGUAAUGUUGUACAAUAUAUAGAUACAUAUAUUUUGAAUAACUUUUUUUUUUCCGAUUAAUUGAUGUUAUAUAUUGUCAUAUUAUGAAUAUGAAUUGUAAAUUUACUACUCGUGUCUAAAUAUUCUAAUAGGCGUAUGCAACUCUUGGUGAAAAAUGUUAGAGCGUGCAAACAGGCAUAGUUUUCACUGUUAAUUGCCCUCUCAUUAUAGACACUAUGAUUAACAAACGAAAACAGCAUUUGGAGAAGGAAAAAUAAGUAUACAUGUAAGUGGCAAGAAAAAGUAACGAGGUGAAUCCACGUUUAUAAAAGUCAUGCCAGUAUGCUACUAGCUACACAUGAUAACCUAUACCUGACUAUUGAGUCAUAAAUGAUAAACAUGUACGACCGAAUAUUCAAAUGUGAUUUCUUCAAAUAUAAUUUUUUAAGAGUAAUUUUACUUUAAUUUCAGUCCGCAAGACUUGAUUACAUAAAGACAGAGUCACGUUAUUCCCACUCUAAUGUCUUAUCUCUUCAUCUAUUUUUUAAUAAAUUUUUUAAUUACAACUAUGCCUAUUUGUAAAAUGACUAAUAAAGACCUUAAAAGAUAUAAUAAUAAUAAUAGUAAGUUAUAUAUUUAUGCAGGUGUUUUUUAAUUUGUAUCUGGUUUGUAGAAAAAAGUAUGUGAUGUAAAACUUUUUUUCUUAAUAUGAAACAAUCAUUUUCUUAUGUUAGAUGAAGCAGAUGAAAUUAAUUCCAUCACGAUCAUGUCCUUAAUUUUAGUUUUAUAUAUUAUUUGUUUAUAUUCUUUUUUUCUAAGAGACAAGUUUAUAAAUUUAGAUAUAUUAGAGGUUAUUUUAGAAAUAAUAGGCUAAGGAAAUAAUAUUUCAAUUGUUUGACUUUUUAUAGCGGGUGAGAUUAUAAUGUGAAUGAAAAAAAUAAGACGCUUGUUUUGGUUGGUGAUUUAUAAUACUCUCAAAAGAUAAUUCUAAAAAUAUUUAAAAACUCGUUAAUCUAAAAAGGCAGAUUUGAAAGUUUCUGUCUUUGGAAACCAGUAUCAUACGAGCCUACCAUACACAAUCUUAGGAAGGAAAGAAUUUCUAACAGGAUGCAUGCUUCCCCUCUCAUUUAUAUAUUUCUGCUUUUUUCUGUGGCGGUGGCAAGAUACACUUUAGAAAUGCCCUAAUUAGUCUAAUAUGAAGAAGGCACUCGGACUUGGUCGCUUAAGAGGAAUACAAUAUUAGUAACUUGAAAAUAGUCAGAAUGAUACAAUUGCCCACACGGAAAUAAGCAGAGUUUGCAUCUUUUAUUAUAGACACCAUGAUUAACAAAAGAAAACAACAUUGAGAGAAGGAAAAAUAAGUACUUCCCAGAAGGGAAUUAAGUACAUGACGGGAACCAUUAAAGUGAGAUUUGCCUAAGGAGAAUAAUGUUUUGACUUCGAGGUGUGACAACUGAAAGUGCCAAGACAUGUUUUUCCGAAAACGGCUAUAGUGAUACCUUAAAGGCAUAACAUGUGAAGAUAGGUAGAUAGAAGCUAUCUUUAAAGGGAAACUAACUUCAUGUUCUUAUUUCUUAAACUACAUAUACUAUAUAGCAGCUCACAUCACUUGACUCAUGAAAAGUUCUUCUGUUCCUUCCUAAUCCACCAUCUUGCGCACGCAGUGGAGCCUAGUAACUGCCCUCAACCAUCCUCGUGUCUCAUCGUAAUCCACAAAUGCUUCCCUGGUAUACACGGUUAAGCCAUUGUUACUGGCAUGCAUCACAUAAUCCUCCUGGCCGAUGUGGCCGUCCUGAUUGUUUCCCGGCAACUCUAGAAUGCAAUUAUCCAGAUGUUCUAAGGACUCGAAUUUCCUCCUAGGAUAGUAGACAUAAGUAGCCCCAUUGAUCUCAAACCGUACAUCUCCAACUACAUUUUGCCGAUAAAGUGCUUGUACACAUUGCAAACGGUCCCUCACUGCGAGCCACCCUUCUCUUAUUGCAUCCUCCACCCUCAUUAGAGUGUUUUGACGAUAUCGGCCUUGCCCUUGCCCUUGCCUCAUGACAAAAAAUACUUCAUGUAUUGGGCUGACUCCUUUAUGGCCGUCUACAUCGUCAACACUCAGAACCUGCUGCACAAACGACGCAACAGAGCUGUAAUCGUCCAAGUCAAACGAGUUGAUGUAUGAGAGCUCAUCCAGAUUAUCAAUUUCCUUCAUUAGAUCAACUACUGGCCUGCUUCUACCUCGCCUCUGGCCAUGUUGUAGACGCUGUCUACCUCUGCCCCAUGUAGGCCCUCCUCUGUCGCCUCUGCAGCCACCCCCUUGAGCCAAUUGCGCUGCUUUAGGGGCGGCAAUAGGGGCUCUUCCUCUCAUAGCUCUCUGGAACUGGCCUUGGCGUUGGCCUCCGUGGCUACUAGAAUGUCUCUUAAAAUUUUGGUUCUGCAUGAGCAAGUCCUGAGCAGGGCCAGGUUUUACAAUCAUUGUGGUGCAUAAAUAUAUAAACAGUAUCGAGGACUGAGACAAUAUAAAAUGAACAUAAGAAAAGAUGGAAGAAAAUGCAGACAGCAUGAAACGGCCUUUUUCUAGUAUCAUUGCUGCAGAACUGGUUUAACCAAACCAAGCACUGCACUCCAUAUAAAGCUGAGUAAUGCUAGAAAGACUAAAUUUGGAGACUAAAAUUGCAAACUAAAUGAUGUGUCACCAAUAGAAAUGAGCACGUCUAUUAACGUUUAAGUAACAUCAACUUCCAUAUCCUUUAGUUUUUAAAAUUUAGUCUCCUUAGCAUUACCCUUUCCUUUUUAUCUAUAGGGCUCAUAAGUAAUUGUCAAGAUCACUAAGCUAUACAUACCACAUGCCUUAGUCAGUGACCCUUGUAAUUAGUCAACAAAAUAUACCACUUACUGUUAAUGAGAUGAUGAGGAAUAUUCAGUAAUCUAGCUAGUAGUGCAAUUUUUUGAUCUUAUAUGGCUGCCACAUAUCAUGUAAUUUCUUGUUUCAAUUCGUUUGAGAAUGUCGAGAAUUAUGGUUUGGAUCAAGGUAUUAAAUAUCGAUGAUAUCGGAAAUAUCGGUAGUCCAAAAACACGGAAAAUUCGAUGGAAAUAUCGGGAUAUUAUCGAUAUCGAUAAAAAUUGAAUAAAAACCACGGAAAUUGUAAGAAAAACUUGGAAAUUUUUAUUGAAACUUUGCAGGAUGUUUAUUUAGUCAAUUAUCUAUAAGUUUAUCACAAAAAAUUGGAAGGAAAUGCAUUGCAUGAUAGAUAUAACUGAUUUAAGUUGAUUAUAUAGCGAGUUGGCAAACAUUGUGAGGGUAGAAAAUAUGUAGUAAUUAAUGAAAGAAGUUUAAACACACCAUAAUCAUUUAUAGAUAAUGAAUUAGUACAAUAUUUUACACUUUAUACAUUGCAUGGUAAGAUACAUGAGUGACUUAGCAAGGUCUAAAAUAUCGAUGAUAUCGGAAAUAUCGGUAGUCCAAAAACACAAAAAUUUCAAUGGAAAUAUCGGGAUAUUAUGCAUAUUUUAGACCGUGGUUUGGAUGAAUGUCGUUGGUAUAAGCACGUCCAAAAGUUUAUAAAAAAUUCAACUUCCUUCCUUCUUGAAACUAUUUUAUGAAAAAGAACCUAUGAUUUAUGUAUUUCUUUAUAAAACAUUAAAACACUAUUUCAGAAUUAAAAAAAAAUACUUUUGUAAUAAGUGAAAAUUUUAAUUACAUAUUUUUGAAUCAAUUAUUCAAUUUUGUUUUUAGAUGAAAAUUUUAAAUUCAUUAACUUUUGUGAUAAAGUUAUAUAAGAAGAAAAAAAAAUGUAACACAAUUAAUCUGUGUUAUAGGUAGAUUAUGAACAAAAACAUUUGGCAUAGGUAGAUGGACAAUUAAAUGUAUAUUCUACCUAUAAGCAAGAUUGAAACCUAACUACAAUAAACAAAAAUAUAAUACAUGCAAAUAAGAUACAUUAACCAGUGAUACAUGUUAAUUAUAAAUAUAAAUCUUUUAUAUAGGUAGAUAAAUAUAAGCAACACGAUUAUAAAAAAAAAAUUAUAAAUGGGGUUUGGAAUAGAAGAACAAAAAUAACAAAAAAAUGAAAUAAUUAAAGAGAUAAUUAAAAAGAAAUUAAUUUGUUAUAAUAAAUCUUAUCAAUAAAUAAUACUUAUUGAUAAUAAAAUAAUCCUAAAUUUAAGAGAUUGGUUAUUUUAAGAAACUGGAUUAUUCCUAAUAUUGGUUAAAAAAAUUAGACUUAUUUUAAAAAACUUGACUAUUCCUAAUAUAGGCAUCCAGAUCUGUUGCCCUCCUUGAUUGUUGGUUUGCUUUGCUAUUCUCUUCUUUCCUAUAUUCCCAGGUGUUUCCAACAGCAUCCGAUUUAAAUUUGCACUCUAUUUAUAGUACGUCUUUUUGAUUCAUCAAGCGCCGUGGUUUAGGUUAGGGAAUCUGGAUCUUUUAGUGAGGGUUUCAAUAAAUUUAAAAUCGUGUCUGUUAAUUGUACAUCGUGCGAUCACAAAUUAUUUUAUUUUAUUUUAUUUAAAAUUAAACACAAACAGUAUAUAAUGAAAACUGACCGCAUGAUAUAUGAUGAACAAAUACAAUUCACUGACUCUGAAAUUAUCAUGAAGAGAAUUCGGAGAUUAUCCUGUUGGUAGGUUGGGGGGUGGACCAUGAUGCAUGAAUUUCACAUGCAAUUAUUACUCAACCAUUGCUAGAUAAUUGUUCGGCCUUCUCACCACAUGGGUAAUGCUAGGUAUAUCUCAAUUUCUUAUACUAUAUUUAAAAAUUAUGGUAGGUGGAGUGAAAAAUUAAGACACUUGGUUCUGUUGGUGGGAAAGGGAUCCAUCAAAUUCAUUAAGUUUGGGAUCCGGAUCGUAGAAUUUUAAUCCAACAGGUAUAGUUAUUAUAACUUUUAAAGGAAUUUCCUAUUUAUAACUGUUUGAUCAAAUUUGAACAGUUUUGAUCCCGAACUUUUAAUGAAUUUGGUCCUGUUGGUGAUUUACAAAACUUUCUAUAGAUAAUUCUAAAAAUAUUUAAAAAAAUCAUUAAUUGUAGGCCACCACACAAUCUCUCUGAAAUUGCAGAUACAAAAAGUACUUAUGCUAAUAGCCAAAGGACAGAACCAUAGUAGCCUCACACACUCUUAGAAAGGAAACAAUUUAUAUUCAACAACCAUCGAUGAAAAGGACCUCACCAGCACAAUCAUUUAGUGCAGAAAGAAAGUAACAUUUUUGCUCAGUAUUAUUAUUACAGUGUAUGAUAGUUAUAUACGUAAUUAUUUGUCACGUGUUUUUUUUAUGUAAUUUUAGUUAACUUUUAUAUAAAAUGAAUAUUUUUAAUUUUGAAAAAAAAUUAACCAAACUUGAAACUUGAAAAGCAUUGAGUAGAGUUCAGGUUUUCUACUGUUAUAGAGGACCUCUUUUUAUCCAAGAAUAUUAUGGGUCUUGCUGUUAUAAAAAGGGUUUUUUAGAUAUAGAUCAUUGUAAUUUUUAUUUUUUAGGCAAAAACCCACCUAGUUUUAAACUUCAAAAUAAAACUCAAAUUUAAAAAUGACUGCCAAGUAGAAAAAUAAUUGAUCUAUUAUUACAAGAUAUUUACAACUUGUACCACAAUAUUCAAAAUAAAUCAAUAAAUGUGAUUAUUCACCUUAAUUACAAUGAACAAAUAGUUAUUACACAUAUUAUUACCCCUAACAUAUAUAUAUAUACACACACACACACAGACACGUUCAAAUAUACAUAGUACUACCAUAAGCAAGUUCAAAUGUACAUAGCACUACCAUAAGCUCAAUAUAUAUAUAUAUAUAUAUAUUCAAACAUAUUAUAAUAAUUAAUCUACCUACAUAUAAAUUUAUGAUGAGCAACUAACAUAUAUAUACACAUGCGCAUGCAGUACUAUAUCUCCUUCCACCAGGUUCGACGGAAUUAAUCUGUGAUCUCAGACCCAUUUUUCUAUGCUGCCAAUCUAUCUUUCAUUAUCCACCCAAAUCGACUUUGGUGAAAGUGUAUACAAUUUUCAGUCAUUGAGGGUCAAAGGGAUCGAUAUUACUUAUUUUAUGUUGAUCUGUCUGAGUAUUCAGAUUGGAGGUUUUGGGGUACAGUCAUUAAGGAGAACUUCAUGUUGGGGCGACGGUUGGGAAGGUAGAUCUGCUUAAUGACGGAGGAGAAUGGAGGAGAAAGGUUCCUAGUUGAGAACAAUUGUUAGAAAGACGAAGACUAGGAGCACCAGUUUAUCUGGGGAUGAGAAAUGAAGGAAAAAUAAAGGGAUUAACUUUUGGGUAUUCAUGGUGAGUUAGUUCCAAAUCCAGAAGAAGAAGAAGAAGACAGGGUGAGGAAGAGAGGGAAAUUAUUGUUAAAUUGUAAAUGCAUACAACAUGUGAAAUCCAUACCUCGAAGAACUGGAAUAGACUGGAGAGAGCUAGAAACCAAUCCACCAGAACGAACAAAUGCCAGAGCUAUUAGGGGUUUUUAUUUGCAAACUGUGAGAGAGCUAGAGAGAAGCAGAAUGCAGAAAGAGGAGAAGCUAAAGGGGUUUUUAUACGCAGCAGACUGAGGGGAGAGCUUUGUUUUUUUUUGGUGGGGUUUUUAUACGCAGCACACUGAGGUUUAUACGCAGUACACUGAGGGGAGAGCUUUGUAUUUUUUUGGUGGGGUUUUUAUACGCAGCACACUGAGGUUUAUACGCAGUACACUGAGGGGAGAGCUUUGUUUUUUUUUUGGUGGGGUUUUUAUACGCAGCAGACUAAGUGGAGAGCUUUGUUUUUUUUUGGUGGAAAGUUGGGUUCUGCUAUAUUUUCACACUCCACCCUUUUUUAGUUUGUCCUUAUGUGGAAAUAUCUAACGUAUCCCUAUCCCAUCAAUUAACGUGGAGCCUGACUUUUUUGUGGUUGCAUCGUUUGCCUUUUGUGGUUGCAUCGUUCGCCUUCAAGCACACCCAUUCUUAUUAAUAACUUGACUUUUUUGUGGUUGCAUAGUUCGUUCGCCCCAAGCACACCCAUUCUUAAUAAUAACUUGACUUUUUUGUGGUUGCAUCGUUCGCCUUCUAGCACCAUUGGCCUUUUACAUAAAGUAGUGAUGCGGUAUUUGUUAGUUAUGACUGUUGAUUGAUUGAAUGAUUAAUUUAUCUGGGCGUGUGAGUGGAGGAUUUGGAUUCUCUUGGUUGAUGUAGGAUUCUCUCUUCUCUUUUUUUUUCCCUUCCUUUCCAUUAUAUUCGAACAAUCACGGUUAAGUCACGUCAACAUCUUAUAUUAAUUUUUUAUAACAAAAGAAAGACAAAAUAAGAGAAUGUGCAAGGAAUGAUAGAAAAUGAUGGAAAGAGGAAAGAAGAGAAUCCUAGUCCCUCUUAGUCUUCUUGGCACGUUCAGUUUUUUCCUUGUUUUUCUAAUCAUUUCUUCAUUUUUUUUUCUUUUCCAGUUUUUUCUUAUUUAUCUAUCUUUUCCUGAUCUGUUUAAUGUUAUUUUACAAAACUACAUUUGGAGAUGAUGAAUCAAUUUUUCACAUUAGUCUUGAAUUUUUUUUAAGGACUUUUAUGUCUUAUUAUCUUCUGACGAAGCCUUGUGACUCUAAAAUAAGGUCCUGACUUUCAAACAGCAAAAAUUUGAUUUAGUUUAUCAUUAUCAUAUAUUAGCCCUCUACGCGGACGGGUAAAAAUGAAAUUAAAUUAGAAACACCUAUUUAUUAGAGAGAGUACCAGCGAGGGUGAGCAACAUGAAAAACAAGAAAAGCUAUCGGGACCACCGCGUGUGAGUUGAGCAGAAUAAGAAACAAGAAACUAAAAAGCCGAUUCGAGGUCUCAUUUUCCUUGUAGUAACUAACACUGCGUCGGCAACAAAAUUUGCUAUCUUCUUAGUCUUGCUAAUAUAGUGUUAAUUUCGUGAGCACGUGUCUUCCUGACCAUGUUUGUCUACAGCCCAAGUUCCAAAUCCCACAGUCCUAAUUUCGUGAGCACGUGUCUUCCUGACCAUGUCUACAGCCUACAAAACAUUAAUUCAUCCAAAAAUAAAAAGACAUAUAUAAACGUCAAAAUUAUUAAGUGUCACGAAAAAUAAAUCCCAAAUUUUGUUAUAGAUUCGUAUUAAUUAGCUUGAUUGCAAAAGACUCAUAUGUACCAAGUUUCGUUGCACUAAUAUUAGAUCACAUAAGAAAUUCCAAGAAGCAAUUCAAGAUCGAAGUUGACGAUAUAAUCUCAUUUUAUUUUUAUGGAUGAGUUACUUUGCUAGCUAGCUUUCCAGUACUUUUGCAUGCUAUUACAGUUGUUUCAUAUUUAUCGAAUAUGAUAUGGAGCAUCACUUGGAGAUGUAACGGUAGCGCAAACAACAAAGUUUAUUUAUUUAAUUAUUUUUUUAACAAAUGAUAUUAUCUAUACUAAGGGGAGAGGGUGGGCUUAACCUCACAAUGAGCUAGCAAUAAUAUGGUAUAAACUCGCAUUUGGCGAGAAUCGAACCUGAGACUUCUCACUUACAAGUGAAGAGGAAUACCACUAGACCGUAAUACUAAAUAGCAACAACAAAGUUUAAUUGCCUGCUAUGUUUACCUUAUCAUGUUAUUUUUUUUGUUUCAAUUCGUCUGAGAAUGUGAAGAAUUUUAGUUUGGAAAAGAAACAUACAAGACAACCAUUGUUGCCGACCAUGGCCAUAUACGAGCAUUGUCUAAAAAUAAAGAUUUAGGUUAAAGCAAAAAACAUCUAUAUUUACAUUAUUUUUUUUUUGUCAAACAAGGCAGCUAUAAUUUCUACUCACUGGUUACAAUUUUACAUUCACAUCUUGUUAGGCCAUUUAAAAGAAUGAAUGUAGUGCGGGGUGCCGAGACGGAUCAUAUAUGAUUACUUUAUCAAGGGGAAUGGCAUCUUCCUUUUAGACACUGAUUAACAAAGAAAACAACAUUAACAGAAGGAAAAUUAACUGCUUCUGAAAAGGGAAUUACAUGGCGGGAACCAUUGAGUUUUCCUAUAUCAUAGUGUUUUGCCUUCAGGUGUAGAAAAUUGAAAGCGCGUUGCACGAUUCCAUAGUUUAAAGUCAUAACAAAAUAGGUGCACGAUUUCAUCUUUUUGAAAGUCAUAACAAGAUUUGAUUAAGCAUGUUGCCCUCUUAGAGCAUCUCCAGUGGAAUCCCUAUAUAGGGACAAAUGAACCUCCAAUGAAUCGAAAAGUGAGUUUCUAAAGUAUACGGACUCGUCGGAUACUUAGUCUAUGUACCCAUAUGUAGGGACUCUAUAGAGACUGAAAUGGUGGACCCGAUAGGACAAUUGAAGUGAAAUGGUAGGCGUGGGUCCUAGUCACAUGGCCUUGCAUUUUUUUUUCUCUUUCUUUUCAACCGUUUAAAGUGGAGGGUCUUGAUUGAUUCUUGCUUUUCAAAUUUGUUACCAUUGAAAGAUCAACGGUUCUAAUUAAAUAACUAUUUCAAUUUAGGUUACUCUCUCAUGUUGGUUUUCAAUUUUAUUUUUCUCUUUUCUUAUUGCCUCCAUUGAAAGAUUAACAGUUUCAAUUUGGAUUACUCUCUCAUGUUGUUCUCUCAUCAUUCCUAUAAUCACCAUAUUAUCUAACCAAAACUUACCGCAACUUCAUCUCCUUACAAGAACGUAAUGUUAAAUUAAUUCAAAAAAAUGUUAACAUAAAUAAGAAAUGUGCACCUAAUCAAAUUAUCACAUAAAAUUGUAAAAACCUCAAAUUUAGGGAUUCUACUAUAAGGACUCUCUUAUUGGAGACAAUAUUCCUUUAGGGACAUAAAGAUUCCCUUUUAAGUCUUUAAACGAGUACUCAAAUGUGGUGGUGGGAGUCCCUAAAUAUAGACUCCCAUUGGAGAUCCUCUAAGAUAGGUGCUACUCAUGCUUAACUUCAUCUCCCCCCCCCCUAAUUUUCUAGUUUAGUUUUUUUUGGAAUUUUCAAAAUUUAAGAUUCAUAAUGCUAAUUUAAAUUCAGCAUAAUAAUCUUCAUUUUGUUGGUUGAAUGUCUUACAAAAAUGCACCGAUGUGUUUUUUGGGUUGUUUGGAAGUGCUUUUAAUAGAAACAAUGACACACCCAACCUCGAUAUCCUCCAAACACCAUGGUAGGCAUGUGAUGGCCAACACACGAAGGCGAUGAAGCCAUAUUAACAUGCAUGUAGGUUAUGAAGAAAUAACAAAUGUAAAUAAAACAAGUAAAUUUCACUAAUAAAGAAUAUGCAUAUGUGGGAACAUGUUCAGAGCAUACAACUAAUUAAGAAUACUGUUGAAGAAAUACUAUAAGGUACGAACAAAGGAAUGAGUCAUACACCGAGAGGACUCGAAGAUACUGAUGUUGGAGUGCCUUGACGCCAGGAUAGUACGCCUUGAUUCUAAGUCCUGAAGGGGGCGCAAAACAAAGCAUGAGUGGACCAAGUUUACAUACUAACCCCCAGUUUUAGAAAACUCAUAUAGCUAAUAAGUAAUAGGUUUUCCGAAAACCUUAGCAUGCCAUAAAACUUUCAUAAAACAUAUAUCGUAUAUAGUGUGCUUAGUAGUGGUGUCACAAUCGCCCGAAGGCCCUACACCGUCCGCCCGAAGGCAUAUAUAAAUAUUCCGCCUAAAGGCCCUACAUUGCACGCCCGAAGGCAUAUAUAAAUCUUCCAGCCGAAGGCACUACAUCGCCCGCCCGAAGGCAUAUACAAAUCAUUCGCUCGCAGGCACUACACCGCCCGCCUGAAGGCACAUAUAUCAUUUGUCCGAAGGCAUAUAUAAAUCAUUCGUCCGUAGACACAACAUCGAAAGAAAACCCUAAUUUUCGAUUUUUGCUAUCUCUUUCGGUGUUUGAAAUUUUGCAGACAUGGGACUCCUACGACGACCAUUCGUUGUGAAGGUUUCAUAUCCUGGUCCUGACUUUGCUGCUGGUUAUGAUGGUGUGUUGAUUUAUUUGUUUUAUAUUCUUUGGUUUCGUUUUUGGUGUUUUAUUUCUGUUGUUUAUGCAAAUAAUAUCCAUCUUCUGUUGUUUUAUGUAUCUUGUGGGAUUUUUAUUUUUGAUCCAACUGUUUUGCGCUGGAUUGGAUGGAGUUGUAUCUACUUAGUUUUUGUUUUGAACUUUCAAGCAUCAAAGUAAUCUGGCUGGGUGGGUGUUUGCAUUGUUUUUUUUUUUUUUUUCAGUUAAUUAUUUAGUUUUGCAAGUACCCUUGCAUGUGCCCUAGUUAGUAUUUCCUACCCCCGUAAAGUAGAUUUGGUCUCUCUAUCGCGCUCUCUCUCUAUAGUUCAUUCCUUACAGAUUUAUGUUCGAACUUUCAGUGCAUCAUCCAGAUUAUCACUCCAAAAGGCUUCUUUUUUCUUAUUUUUUGUCUUUUUCUCUUUUCUGAAGUUCCACACAGUUAUUUUGUAUCAUAUUAAUCCAAUGAUCAAGUUCAACUAUCUAUUUUCAUAUCCCCAUUUAUCAUAUAUUAUUUACAUACAAGUAAGAAAAAUUAGUGAUCAUAAGCAUAACUACACACUGGGCUAUUUUUAAGUGUGUUUCUUAUACAAGCAAUACUUAUUCUAGACUAAUCUAAACUACGGGAAAGAAAAUUCAAAAUUGAGUACAUAAAGAAAGCACAUAAACUCUAACUAAUAUGAUUGCGACUAGUGCCAUCGUUUGCUGCUAAGUUCAAGUGUUUUAACUAAUUAAGAGGUUCCUUUUCCCACUUCCUCUCCAUCUUGCAUUAAUUUUACAUGGUUUUUAAUGUGCAAAAGGUUCCUAAUUCUCAGCCAAGAACAACUAUUUGAAGCAAUACAGCUCUAAAAGCAGUAUUAAAUCAGCUUAGAACCAGGUUUUUCCCUAAAACCUAUUAAGAAAAUGGCCAGCCCACUAUUUCAAAGUUUUUGAGAUUAAACUUGCCACAAGCAUCUAUCAUCAAAUGGAAGAAUGCAGACUCAACUCCAUCACACCCAUGGACCACCUUUGUUUUCUCUCUCUACUCUCCCUCUCCUUCUAGAGAAUUAGCCAAAUUGCAAUUUGGCUCCACAUCACCAUUCCCUUUAACAAUUAAUAUCUUUGAGGUUUGACCAACUUAAUGGUCAAAUAAAAUACAUCUUUACUAAGCCUCUGUUGCCUUUGCACAUGGAUAGAAGCCACAAAACCCUCCAUAAAAAUUACAGUUAAGUCUUCUCUGUAAAGCAAUACCUAAAAAGGGUUCAAAACUUUUGCCUUUUGGAGUGAUAAUUUGUAAUGUUGUACAAUAUAUAGAUACAUAUAUUUUGAAUAACAUUUUAUUUUCCGAUUAAUUGAUGUUAUAUAUUGUCAAAUUAUGAAUAUGAAUUGUAAAUUUACUUAACUCGUGUCUAAAUAUUCUAAUAGGCGUAUGCAACUCUCGGUGAAAAAUGUUAGAGCGUGCAAACAGGCAUGGUUUUCACUGUUAAUUGCCCUCUCAUUAUAGACACUAUGAUUAACAAAAGAAAACAACAUUUGGAGAAGGAAAAAUAAGUAUACAUGUAGGUGGCAAGAAAAAGUAACGAGGUGAAUCCACGUUUAUAAAAGCUAUGCCAGUAUGCUACUAGCUACACAUGAUAACCUAUACCUGACUAUUGAGUCAUAAAUGAUAAACAUGUACGACCGAAUAUUCAAAUGUGAUUUCUUCAAAUAUAAAUUUUGAAGAGUAAUUUUACUUUAGUUUCAGUCUGCAAGACUUGAUCACUUAAAGAUAGAGUCACAUUAUUUUCAUUUUAAUGUCUUAUCUCUUCAUCUAUUUUUUAAUAAAUUUUUUAAUUACAACUAUGCCUAUUUGUAAAAUGACUAAUAAAGACCUUAAAAGAUAUAAUAAUAAUAAUAAUAGUAAGUUAUAUUUUUAUGCAGGUGUUUUUUAAUUUGUAUUAUGUUUGUAGAAAAAAGUAUGUGAUGUAAAACUUUUUUUCUUAAUAUGAAACAAUCAUUUUCUUAUGUUAGAUGAAGCAGAUGAAAUUAAUUCCAUCACGAUCAUGUCCUUAAUUAAUUUUAGUUUUAUAUAUUAUUUGUUUAUAUCCUUUUUUCUAAGAGACAAGUUUAUAAGUUAAGAUAUAUUAGAGGUUAUUUUAGAAAUAAUAGGCUAAGGAAAUAAUAUUUCAAUUGUUUGACUUUUUACAGCGGGUGAGAUUAUAAUGUGAAUGAAAAAAAUAAGACGCUUGUUUCGGUUGGUGAUUUAUAAUACUCUCAAAAGAUAAUUCUAAAAAUAUUUAAAAACUCGUUAAUCUAAAAAGGCAGAUUUGAAAGUUUCUGUCUUUGGAAACCAGUAUCAUACGAGCCUACCAUACACACUCUUAGGAAGUAAAGAAUUUCUAACAGGAUGCAUGCUUCCCCUCUCAUUUAUAUAUUUCUGCUUUUUUCUGUGGCGGUGGCAAGAUACACUUUAGAAAUGCCCUAAUUAGUCUAAUAUGAAGAAAGCACUCGGACUUGGUCUCUUAAGAGGAAUAUAACCUAUUAGUAACUUGAAAAUAGUCAGAAUGAUACAAUUGCCCAAACGGAAAUAAGCAGAGUUUGCAUCUUUUAUUAUAGACACCAUGAUUAACAAAAGAAAACAACAUUGAGAGAAGGAAAAAUAAGUACUUCCCAACUUCGAGGUGUGACAACUGAAAGUGCCAAGACAAGUUUCUCCGAAAACGGCUAUAGUGAUACCUUAAAGGCAUAACAUGUGAAGAUAGGUAGAUAGAAGCUAUCUUUAAAGGUAAACUAACUUCAUCUUCUUAUUUCUUAAACUACAUAUACUAUAUAGCAGCUCACAUCACUUGACUCAUGAAAAGUUCUUCUGUUCCUUCCUAAUCCACCAUCUUGCGCACGCAGUGGAGCCUAGUAACUGCCCUCAACCAUCCUCGUGUCUCGUCGUAAUCCACAAAUGCUUCCCUGGUAUACACGGUUAAGCCAUUGUUACUGGCAUGCAUCACAUAAUCCUCCUGGCCGAUGUGGCCGUCCUGAUUGUUUCCCGGCAACUCUAGAAUGCAAUUAUCCAGAUGUUCUAAGGACUCGAAUUUCCUCCUAGGAUAGUAGACAUAAUUAGCCCCAUCGAUCUCAAACCGUACAUUUCCAACUACAUUUUGCCCAUAACGUGCUUGUACACAUUGCAAACGGCCCCUCACUGCCAGCCACCCUUCUCUCAUUGCAUCCUCCACCCUCAUUGGAGUGUCUUGACGAUUUCGGCCUUGCCCUUGCCUCAUGACAAAAAAUACUUCAUGUAUUGGGCUGACUCCUUUAUUGUUGUCUACAUCUUCAACACUCAGAACGUGCUGCACAAACGACUCAACAGAGUCGUAAAUGUCCAAAUCGAACGUGUGGAUGUAUGAGAGCUCAUCCUGAUUAUAAAUUUCCUUCAUUAGAUCAACUUCUGGACUGCUUCUACCUCGCCUCUGGCCAUGUUGUCGACUCUGUCUACGUCUGCCCCGUGUAGGCCCUCCUCUGUCGCCUCCGUGGCCACCCCCUUGAGCCAAUUGAGCUGCUCCAGGGGCGGCAAUAGGGGCUCUUCCUCUCAUAGCUCUCUGGAACUGGCCUUGGCGUUGGCCUCCCUUGCUACUAGAAUGUCUCUUAAAAUUUUGGUUCUGCAUAAGCAAGUCCUGAGCAGGGUUACAAUCAUUGUAGUGGAUAAAUAUAUAAACAGUAUCAAGAACUGAGACAUAAAAUGAACACAAGAAAAGAUGAAAGAAAAUGCAGACAGCAUAAAACGGCCUUCUUCUAGUAUCAUUGCUGCAGAACUCGUUUAACCAAACCAAGCACUGCACUCUAUAUAAAGCUAGUUUUUUAUUUUUUAUUUUUUUUGAAACACACUAUAUAAAGCUAGUUUGAGGUAAAGUUAAGGACUUGAUUACACCUAGUGGCAAAACUUUUGUUUAUUUAGAUUAGGGAGUUGAGGAUUCUACUUUAAAACAAGAGAAAUUUAACGAAAAACGCAUGGUACUGUUCACUUUAACGAAAAAUCACAUUUUUACACUAAAAAGUCAAUCCUGGUACAAUUCACUUUACCCUUUAUUUUGUCCUUAUCGUUAAAACUCAAAGUUUUCAAACCAUUUUCAUUAGUUUUCCUUUUAAAACAAUAAAGAAGAAAGCCUACCAAAUUUAUCCCUCAUCGCUUCUAGUUGUGCGCGUUCAAUUUUACCUUUCCAAAAUUGUAAAGGACUAAACCGACAGUCUAAUCCAUUUGAAAUGAUGAUAGCUCAAAGCUACACAUACCACAUGCCUGACCAUUGUAACUAGUCAACAAAAUAUACCACUUACAGUUAAUGAGAUGAUGAGGAAUAUUCAGUAAUCUAGCUAGUAGUGCAAUUUUGUGAUCUUAGAAAUGAUGAUAUGUGAUAUAUGACUGCCACAUAUCAUGUAAUUUCUUGUUUCAAUUCGUUUGAGAAUGUCGAGAAUUAUGGUUUGGAUUAAUGUCGUUGGUAUAAGCACGUCCAAAAGUUAUAUAAAAAAUUCAACUUCCUUCCUCCUUGAAAGUAUUUUAUGAAAAAUAAACUAUGAUUUAUGUAUUUCUUUAUAAAACAUUAAAACACUAUUUCGGAAUAUAAAAAAAACUUUUGUAAUAUAAAUGUCAAAUAGUUAAAAUGAUUCACUUUUAAUAUUUGGUCAUUUUUGAUAUAACAUAUCAAUAACAUCAACGGCACAACUAUGAUAUAACAACGAAAUACUAAAAGUAAAUCAUUUUAACAACCGAAUGUCAAAAGUUGAUUAUUUCAGGAAAAAAAAACUCUAUAUAAAGCAAUUCGCACAUGGAAAAGUGACAUAUAAGAAAACCAUUUUUGUCUACCAUGACCAAAGGCCCCAAAUAGCCAUAUACGAGCAUUGUCUAAAAAUAAAGAUUUAGGGUAAUUAGCAAAAAACAGCUAUAAUUACUACUCACUCCCAAUCCGGCUUUUUUAAGGAUUAAAAAAAAUGAAAACUAAUGAAAAUAGCUUGAAAACUUUGAGUUUUAAUGAUAAGGACAAAAUAAAGGAUAAAGUAAAUAGUAUCAGGUUUGACUUUUUAGUGUAAAAAUGUGAUUUUUCGUUAAAGUGAACAGUACCGUGGGCUUUUCGUUAAAACUCCCUUAAAAAAAUUUAGAAGAAGGCAAGUGAUCAUUUACUACAGUGGUAGAAAGAUGUUGAGACCUUACAUAAUAGUGUGGGUUCAAAUCUCAUCGAUGAUUAAUUUAACAUCUAAUCUAACAAAAUCUAUCGUUUGACUAAAAAAAAUUCAGAAAAAGAAAAGUAUCUGUUGAAAUAAAAAAAUAGCACAAGCCAAGAAGGCAUCCAAAUCUGUUGCCCUCCUUGAUUGUUGGUUUGCUUUGCUAUUCUCUUCUUUCUUCCAACAGCAUCCGAUUUAAAAUUGCUCUUAUAUUUAUAGUACGUGUUUUUGAUUCGUCAAGCGCCGUAAUAUAUAUAUAUAUAUAUAUAUAUAUAUAUAUAUAUAUAUAUAUUGAAAAUCUUUGACACACAAUGCCACCUGACACACUCUUAGAAAGGAAACAAUUUAUAUUCAACAACCAUCGAUAUUACUUAUUUUACGUUGAUCUGUCUGAGUAUAUUCAGAUUGGAGGUUUUGGGGUACAGUCAUUAAGGAGAACUUCAUGUUGGGGCGACGGCUGGGAAGGUAGAUCUGCCUAAUGACGGAGGAGAAAGGUUCCUAGUUGAGAACAAUUGUUAGAAAGACGAAGACUAAGAGCACCAGUUUAUCUAGGGAUGAGAAAUGAACGAAAAAUAAAGGGAAUAACUUUUGGGUAUUCAUGAUGAGUUAGUUCCAAAUCCAGAAGAAGAAGACAGGGUGAGGAAGAGGGGGAAAAUAUUGUUAAAUUGUAAAUUUAUACAACAUGUGAAACCCGUACCUCGAAGAACUGGAAUACACCUGAAGAGAGCUGGAAACCAAUCCACCAGAAUGAACAAAUGCCAGAGCUAUUAAGGUUUUUAUUUGCAAACUGUGAGAGUGCUAGAGAGAAGCAGAAUGCAGAAAGGGGAGAGCUCAAGGGGUUUUAUACGCAAAGUGAAUGGAGAGGUAGUUCCUGCUAUAUUUUCAAGGAACAGGAGUGUUGUUAAUGAACAGUGUCGAUCAUGAACAGUGUCUGGGAUGAGACGGUUGGGAUGGUAGAUCUGCCUAAUGACGGAGGAGAAUGGAGGAGAAAGGUUCCUAGUUGAGAACAAUUGUUAGAAAGACGAAGACUAGGAGCACCAGUUUAUCUGGGAUGAGAAAUGAAGGAAAAAUAAAGGGAUUAACUUUUGGGUAUUCAUGGUGAGUUAGUUCCAAAUCCAGAAGAAGAAGAAGAAGACAGGGUGAGGAAGAGAGGGAAAAUAUUGUUAAAUUGUAAAUGCAUACAACAUGUUAAAUCCAUACCUCGAAGAACUGGAAUGCACCUGGAGAGAGCUGGAAACCAAUCCACCAGAAUGAACAAAUGCCAGAGCUAUUAGGGUUUGCAACAGUAAGAGAGCUAGAAAAGCAGAAUGCAGAAAGAGGAGAGCUCAAGGAGUUUUAAAAGCAAACUGAGUGGAGCCGGUAGGUCCUACUAUAUUUUCCUACUAUAUUUUCCUACUAUAUUUUCUAGGAGCAUGUGCAAGAGAAAUUUUAAAUUGUGAAAAAUCUCUCCAGGGGCAAGGGUUGCUUGAACGUCUAGUUGACCUUAUUUGUGAAAAUCAAUUGUGUUUUUUAUGGAUAUUUUUUAAGGAAAAAUCUUCUUGUAUUAUUCAUUUUAAAGAAAAAUCGUAUUUUUAUAUUAAAAAUUCAAUUAUGAUACUAUUCAUUUUACUCUUUAUUUUGUCCUUAUAGUUAAAACUCAAAGUUUUUAAACAUUUUUCAUUAGUUUUAUUUUUAUUUUUUAAGAUUUACUUAAUUUGAUUUCACCUUACACUAUUAUUACCAUUACCAUGUUUACCUCUAUAUUAACAUGAAACAAGCACCCUAUAAUAGCCUUAUGAAUACAAUUAAAGUUACGUGGUGAAUGGAUGUAUGAGGUGUUAAUUCACUUGUUUGUUUUAACCUAUUCACCGUGAACUUGUGCCUACAUGAAUGACGGUACAAGUACAACCUCAAAAAGAGCUACACCCUUUUAUUUGUGGAGUAGGAUUCUCUACCUUCAUAUCAUAUUCUCAUCUCCUUCCAUCCCCUCCUCUUACUCAUUGUAUUUUGUUUUAUUAUUUCUAUAAAAAAAUUAAUAUAAAAUGUUAACGUGGUUUAACCGUGACCGUUCAAAUAGAAUGAGAUGUAAGAAUAGAGAGAUUAUGAGGGUAGAGAAUCCUACUAUUUUAUUUGUUACAAUGUCUUUAUAAUUUAAUGCAACUUGCUUGGGCAACAUCCUUUAAAAAUAAUCAAUAAAGUGCCAAAUUUCGUCCGAGUCAGAUGCUUGGACGUAUCUAGAAGAGGGAUAACAAUCAAUUCCGGGAGACCCCAACGACUCGCUUAGGCAACAUCCUUAAUAAUAUCUUGACUUUUUUAUUUGUUAGUUAGGAAUGUUGAUUGAUUGAAGGAUUAAUUUAUCUGGGCGUGUGAGGGGAGGAUUUGGAUUCUCUUGGACUUUAGCACUUUCCGUUUUUUCCUUGUUUUUCUAAUCAUUUCAUCAUUUUCUUUCUUUUCCAGUUUUUUCUUAUCUAUCAAUCUUUUCCUGAUUUGUACAAAACUACAUUUGGAGAUGAUGAAUCAAUUUUUCACAUUAGUCUUGAAUUUUUUUGAGGAUUUUUCACAUAAGAAACAAGAAACUAAAAAGCCGAUUCGAGGUCUCAUUUUCCUUGUAGUAACUAAUUUGCCAUCUUCUUAGUCUUGCUAAUAUAGUGUUAAUUUCGUGAGCAUGCAUGAUCACUAGCUUGUUUGUUUGCAAACAAAUAAUUGAUUUGAUUGCUCUUGGAUUCUUUUGUCGAGUCUUGUGAACUUCCUUAUUCGUGAGCACGUGUCUUCCUGAUCAUGUCUACAGCCCAUGUUCCAAAUCCCACAGUCCUAAUUUCGUGAGCACGUGUCUUCCUAACCAUGUAUACAGCCUACAAAACAUUAAUUCAUCCAAAAAUAAAAAGACAUAUAUAAACGUCAAAAUUAUUAAGUGUCACGAAAAAUAAAUCCCAAAUUUUGUUAUAGAUUCGUAUUAAUUAGCUUGAUUGCAAAAGCCUCAUAUGUACCAAGUUUCGUUGCACUAAUAUGGAGAAUCACUUGGAGAUGUAACGGCAGCCCAAUUGCUUGGACAAUUCAGGUCCACCAACUGCCACUUGGGGCCCUCUGAAGUCGGUAACACUCCCUUCUGUAAUAAAUAAUGUGACUUUUUUGUGGCAUGAUCAUUGUCCUACCGAGCAUGUACGGACGGAGGGAGGUAAGGCACAGUGGUGGCGCAUGCCCCCUCUCUUUUAAAAAAAAAAUAAAUAAAUUACAAAUUACAAAUUAUUCAAUUAAUCAUUCUCAUUUUUUUUGCUUUGCAAAUUAUUCAAUUAAUUAUAUUAAAAUAGUGAAAAUCAUCUUUUAGUUUUUAAAUGUCCCUCCAUCUUGGAUAUUUUUCUCACGCACUAAUGUCUAAACCUUGUUGAGUUGCAUGUAUUUGGUUAAUUAGUACAAAUGAGCAUUAUAUUGUCAACAAUUAAAGACAAAAUUAGACAAUAGAGUAAUAAAAUUAGGCAUUUUGUAAUUAAUUUUUUCAACAUUUGUAAAAGAACUAGCUUUAUUUGUCCAAAAAAGGAGCUCAAAAUUUUUAAAGUGCCCCCUCUUAGUUAAAUUUCUGGCUUCAUCCCUGCUACCAAGUACUAUUGAAUUUUUCCAUAAAGUAAUGAUGAAGUAUUUGUUAGUUAGGAUUAAUUUAUGGGAGUUUUAACGAAAAGUCCGCAAUACUGUUCACUUUAACGAAAAACCACAUUUUUACUCUAAAAAGUCAAACCUGAUACUAUUCACUUUACCCUUUAUUUUGUCCUUAUUGUUAAAACUCAAAGUUUUCAAGUUUUUUUCAUUAAUUUUCCUUUAAUUUAUCUGGCGGUGUGAGUAGAGGAUUUGGAUUCUCUUGGUCUUGGCACGUUCAGUUUUUUCCUUGUUUUUCAAAUCAUUUCUUCAUUUUUUUUUUCUUUUCCAGUUUUUUCUUAUUUAUCUAUCUUUUCCCGAUCUGUUUAAUGUUAUUUUACAAAACUACAUUUGGAGAUGAUGAAUCAAUUUUUCACAUUAGUUUUGAAAUUUUUUUAAGGACUUUUAUGUCUUAUUAUCCUCUAGCUCUCUAGCUCUCUAGCUCUCCUACAGCGAAAGAAUUCAACACAAACAUCGAGUACAAAAUUUUAUAUUUUAAAAUACCCAAUCAAUAUUCCUAUACGUAUUCCAAUGAGGGCCCACGAACCUGGUGGCUUGACAGGGAUCUGGAUUGUCUGUCCUCCCCAUCCAUCAUUUUUCCAUGCAUUCCUAUUUGAACGAUCACGUUAAAUCAUUUUAAUAUUUUAUAUUGAUUUUUUUUAUAGAGAUAAUAAGACAAAAAGCAAUGGGAAUAUAAAAUGUUGAUGUUGCUUAACCGUGACCAGUUCAAAUAGGAGGGCAUGAGAAUGGAAUGGGAUGGAGGAGGGCAGACAAUCCAGAUCCGCUUGAGAGGAAUACAACAUUAGUUACUUGAAAAUAGUGAGAUUGAUACAACUAAUAUAUAGUAACGGAGAGCUUUAAUGAAAAUAAUUUAAGCUAAGUUUAUUUUAAUAAAAAUUAUCCUAUGAUUUUAUUUAAUGCAAACGGCUUGAGAUUUAAUAAAAAUGACAUAAUACAAUAUGAUAAAGAAAAAAAUUUAAAUCUGCAUAACUAGAAUACAGGCUCCAUCCCAUCAAUUAACCCACUAUAUUAUUAAGGGUUGGUUUGGUAUUGUUGUGCUUUGAAAAAAAAACUGUUUUUGCUAUGCUGUGAGAAUAAACAGUUGUGAAAUAAAACAGCAGAUUGUUUGGUAAACUUUUUUGUAAAAGUGCUUUUGAAUAAUAAAAAAAAAAAGCAGUAUUAGCCUUUGUUUGGUACUGAGGUGAUUUUGAAAAAAAAUGGCUAUCAAAAAAAGCUUGAAGCUUUUUUAUGUUUGGUAAACAUUCAACUUUAGCUUUUUUUCACCGUUUUUGGUAAAAAGGCCAAAAACACAAAGCUGCAAAACCCAACUUUGAAAAAUCAGUUUUUUUUCACAUCUGUUUUACAUAAAAGUUUAUCAAACACUAUAAUACUGUUUUUUUUUUUCAAAAGCACUUUUACAAAAAAGUUUACCAAACAUUCAGCUGCUUUAUUUCACAUCUACUUAUUCUCACAGCACAGCAGAAUCAGUUUUUUUCAAAGCACAACAAUACCAAACCAGCCCUUAUAGUGUUUGAUAAACUUUUAUGUAAAACAAAUGUGAAAAAAAGCUGGUUUUUGAAAAGGUGGGUUUUGCAGCCUUUAUGUUUUUUGGCUUUUUUUCCACCAAAAACUGUGAAACAAAACUGAAGCUGAAUGUUUACCAAACAUAAAAAAGCUCCAAGCUUUUUUUGAUAGCCAUUUUUUUUCAAAAUCACCUCAAUACCAAACCAGGAUUCAACAUGAAUGUGAUGAAGCUUCCAAUGCUCCACCAUCCUUAGCCACUCUUUUCUUUGCAUGGGUCCUAACCAAGGUUAUGACAAAAAACAUAUAUAAUAUUUAUUUAAGAACUUUAACGAAAAAUUUUCGGUACUGUUCAUUUUAACGAAAAAUCAUAUUUUUACACUAAAAAGUCAAUCUUGGUACUAUUCACUUUACCUUUUAUUUUGUCUUUAUCGUUAAAACUCAAAAUUUUCAAGUUUUAUUUAUUUAUUUAUGUAUUUUAUAUUAAUAUAUGGGGAUUCCAUAUUUAAUUUAUUAUGUAUACUUGUGAACAUGAAUGUCAACAUGUAUAUACACUGUCUAUUUCCUUUCAUUGCAGAUGCAAGUUUGUGCAGAAUCGCAGUAUUUAUCAAAAUAUUCUAUGUUUUCUGAAACAAAAAUACAAACCAUAAUUUUGCAUGAGAGAGAGGAGAGAUAAGAGAGGACUGAAAACUUCAUGUAAUUCUCCCUGAUAUUAUUCAUGAAGUUGAAUUUCAUGUUGUUAUAUAUGCCAAAUCGAAAGUAUCCAUCUAUAGAUUCUACUAUUAAAUAGCAACAUAUAAGAUUACCAUUUUGUAGAAAAAGACGGACGAACGAUAUUCAAGAAUCAAGAUUGGGUUAUUUUGUCAAAACUCUCUUUAUUUUGUUCAUUUUCAGAAAUAGUGUGGGUUAUUUUGGUUCAAUUUCAUAAAUAGUGCUGGUUAGUUUGUUGUAGUUUCAAAAAUAGUGUGAGUUAUUUUGGUUCUGUUUCAGAAAUAGUGUGUGUUAUUUUGUUGUUGUUUCAUAAAUAAUGUUUAUUUUUUCCUACCAAAAAUAAUGUGUGUUAUUUUGAUUCAGUUUCAAAAAUGGUGUAGGCUAUUUUGUUGUAAUUCCAAAAAUAGUGUGGAUUAUUUUCGUUCAGUUUCAGAAAUAGUGUGAGUUAUUUUGCUGUACUUUUAGAAAUUGUGUGGAUUAUUUUGGUUCAAUUUCUGAAAUAGCUAGGUUAUUUUGUUGUAUUUCUAGAAAUAGUUUUGAUUAUUUUGGUUCUAUUUCAUAAAUAGUGUAAAUUAUUUUACUGUAGUUUCAGAAACAGUGUUUAUUUAGUGCCGUUUCAGAAAUAAUGUGGAUUAUUUUGGUUAUAUUUCAGAAAUAGUGUGGGUUAUUUUGGUUCUAUUCCAAAAAUAGUGUGGGUUAUUUUGUUGUUGUUCCAAAACUAGUGUGUAUUUUGUUCCCUUCCAAAAAUAGUGCGAGUUAUUUUAGUUCAGUUUCAAAAAUAGUGUUUAUUAUUUUGUUGUAGUUCCAAGAAUAGUGUGGAUUAUAAAGUCCUUAGAUUCCUGCAAAUUGCAAUAUCCACCGUCAUGUGCAACUCUUUUUUUUUUCUUUACAACUUAUGAAAUUUAUGCAUCUAAUACUAAUAAUAAUAAGCUAUACAACUUAUCUUCCCCAAUUAUAUCCAACUAUAUGCUUUGCCAUUUUUUAUUGAUUUGAAAACAAUUUAAUAUUUUUUGUGGAUUUUCAAUGGCAUUUUUGUUAAUGGAUUUGUGCUAAAACAUUAAUUCAUCCAAAAACAAAUAGACAUGUAUAAACGUCAAAAAUAUUAAUUGCCACGAAAAAUAAAUCCCAAAUUCGUUAUAGAUUCCUAUUAAUUAGCUUGAUUGCAAAAGACUCAUAUGUAAGUUUCGUUGCACUAAUAUUAGAUCGCAUUCCAAGAAGCAAUUCAAGAUCGAAGUUGACGAUGAGGAGGUGCAUAAUCUCAUUUUAUUUUUAUGGAUGAGUUACUUUGCUAGCUAGCUUUUCAGUACUCUUGCAUGCUAUUAAAGUUGUUUCAUAUUUAUCGAAUAUGAUAUGGAGCAUCACCUGGAGAUGUAACGGUAGCGCAAACAACAAAGUUUAUUUAUUUAAUUUUUUUUUAACAAGUGAUAUUAUCUACAUUAAGGGUGAGGGGAUGGGCUUAACCUCACACUAGGCUAACAGCAAUAUGGUUCAAAUUCGUCUUUGGCGAGAAUCGAACAUGAGACCUCUCACUUACAAGUGAAGAGAAAUACUACUAGACCGUAGUACUAAGUAGCAACAACAAAGUUUAUUUGCCUGCGAUGUUUACCUUGUCAUGUUACUUUUUGCUUCAAUUCGUCUGAGAAUGUGAAGAAUUUUGGUUUGGAUGUUAAUGUCCUUGGUACAAGCACGUCCAAGAUUUUAUAAAAAAUUCAAGUUCCUUCUUGAAAGUAUUUUAUGAAAAAGAACCUACAAUUGGUGUAUUUUUUUACAACUAUAAUGUAACAAUGAAAUGCUAAAAGUAAAAUCAUUUUAGCAACCGAAUGUCAUAUAUAAGUAUGAUUUCAACCAAAAACUCUAUAUAAAACAACCCACACAUCGAAAAGUGACAUACAAGACAACCAUUGUUGCCUACCAUGGCCAAAGGCCCCAAAUAGCCAUAUACGAGCAUUGUCUAAAAAUAAAGAUUUAGGUUAAAGAAAAAAGCAGUUAUAUUUACUUUUUUUUUUUUGUCAAACGAAGCAGCUAUAAUUACUACUCACUGGUUACAAUUUUACAUUCACAUCCUGUUAUGCCAUAUAAAAGAAGGAAAUUUUAACAAAAAACUUCUGAUACUGUUCACUUUAACGAAAAAUCAUAUUUUUACACUAAAAAAUCAAUCCUGGUACUAUUCACUUUACCUUUUAGAGCAAGUCCACCGGAGUGGACUUUGCCCAGCACUCAGUCCAAAUAGCAGUCCAUGUCCAUGUCCAUGAUGAGUAUGUAAUUUUAUUUUGGUGUGCAUUUUUUUUUUAAGUUUAUUUGAAAUUUUAUCCAAAAUUUGUUAAAAAUCUUAUCCGAAAUAAACUUAAAAAAAAAAACACACACCAAAUAAAUGCGCUGGGUGCCAGUGCAUUUUUUUAGGGGUGAAAAUGCCUUGGCCUAUUACUGUUCACUUGAGUGGAUAAAUGCGCUGAAUGCUGGCGCAAAGUCCUUAGGGGUGAACUUCUCUUAUUUUAUCCUUAUAAUUAAAACUUAAAGUUUUCAAACAUUUUCAUUAGUUUCCUUUAAAAUAAUGAAUGUAGAGCGGGGUGCCGAGUGGGAUCAUAUAUGAUUAUUUUAUUAAGGAGAAUGGCAUCUUGUGUUUGCGUGUAUUUUUAUGUGUCGGUUGAAGUUUAUAUGCAAUCUGUAUGCCAUCCCAACAUAUAUAGGAUAUGGUCAUGCGUUUUAUUUUACAGUCAACAUUUUACCAAAAUGAAAAUUUUGCGGGAGAAGAAGAGAGGAGCUAGUAAUGUAUUGUACGAUUGGUCGCCUUUGUUGAGAAGCCUACGUUCCAAAUAAUUUUCACACUCCGUAUCUAUAUUUUAGAUUUGCAUACAGAAAGGAGAGGAGAACACACCUUUUACUGCAAAGUGAAACUCCUUUUGUUCAUCGCUUGUCUUAUAUGAGGGGGUUCUCUCAUGGUUGUAUCACCUAUCCUGUGCUUCUGACUACAGAUUUCUUCGUGUGCUUCUGACUGCAGAUUUCUUGUUCGUGAUGACAUGCCUCUUGGAGCUUUUGCCAAGUUUAUAGGGCGUCAACUCGAUAAAGUUCAUGUUCAACUGUAUUUCAAGAACAUUGUUGUUGUUGAUAAUUGCAAGUGUAUAAUAUCGUCUAAGUAAUAUAGUGAUAAGUAGAGUGUCGUUCAAACAAAGAUCGGAUUAACUUAUAUUUACUAUUGAGAUUGACUUCAAACUAAACUUAAAUAAAAGAGGGAUUAUGUUGACAAAUUCUAAGAUGCAAAGAAACCAAAUGAAAGUAAAAAUAACGACUGAUCGAGCACUAAAUAAAAAUGAAUGAAUUAUAAAAGAUUAAAAUAUGGAAGCACUAGGACAUCAGGUUCCUUAUUCUCAAUCCCAUCUAAUCCCGUUAUUCAUAUUAACAUCAAAUUAUUCCCAUGUUGCUAGCAAUUAUCCCUUGAUUCGUCAAUAUUUUCUGUCAGAAUAUACUAAUCGUGUUUCGAACUAUCUACCCAUGCUAUGUCUAGCCACAUAUAUAGAUAAUCAAAACCCUUUACGCUAAAUGGAUAAUUACAUGAUACUACACAAAUCAUAACCAAUAUAUCUAUUCAAUUAUGUAAUUUAUGGUAAUUGUUAUGAGAAGCAACCUACAAAACUCUACCUGUCAGUCACAAUUUAGUUAUUCACACAAAUAAUGGCCAGUUAUUUGAUAACAACGAAGCACAAUAACAAUUACUCAACAUGGAAAAUAACUGAGAUUAAUAUAAAAUAAUGAGAAUUAUAUGUUCAUGAUAAGAGUACACCCUAAUCCUAGCAAAAAGACUUAAUUCAUGAUUGAACUUAUGCCAAACAUGGAUGAAUUCAAUGACAUGCAAUAAAUCUUGAACUCCAACAUUGUUUUUGAAUGUGUGUAUGCGCUGUGGUGGUUUGAUCCUCCCCCAAAAAUCCUUGCGCCGCUGGGUUCUCCACCUUCCUUGCGGCACACCCUUAGGCUCUCCAAAAAAAACCUGAUUUUAUUCUCCCCCCUUCUGCCUCUCAAUAAGGGGAUUAAAAACCUUCUCAUUCUUGGAAAAGUCCAACGCCACUUUUUAUGAAGCCCAAAUUGGAUUUAAUUUGAUAAAGCCCAAAUUCCAGCACAAUUCUCACAAAGCAGCAGUCCACUUCGUUAUUCCAUGAUACUUUCUUUAUAAUUCUUCUUACAAAUCCACAUUUAUCUCCGACUAUUAUUUGUACAAAACUUACACAAAACACAUCAAACUCACCAAUUUAAUAUAAAAUCAUGACCAAAUAAUAAGUAAAAAAGGUAUAAAACAUGCAUAUAAUAUCACCCUAACAACUGUACCUCCUAAUGGUGAGCAGAGCUGCAUUUUUUUUCUUUUGUUUCCCAAAUUAUUUGUCAACCUUGUGACGUAGUAAUCUAAUUCUUGCACUGUUGCAGAGGCCUUGAUGUCUGAAUUUGAUGCGGAGAACAAGGGUAAAGAUGGAUUUCUUCACAUAACCUACACUGGCAAUGAGAAAGGAGACAGACUCUGAAUUCACUGAUGUGUUACCACCAGUAAGAGUUCCACUGAAUUAGAUACUUUUACUUCCUAGUCAGUAGGUGGACAUACCUCUGUUUUAAUUUGCGCCUCUAUGCAGAGGACUAAGAGUAGAGCUGCUGCAAAGAUUGACAUAAUUCCUGGCAGGAUCAAGAGGAGGAAGUUAGUUGUCGAUCCCUUGUGCUUUAUUUGUCUUAAAUUUGUUUGCUGCAAUGGAAAAAAGAUUGUUUCCUUUCCUUUUCCUUUAUGCUUGUAGGAAAAUCGGAAUAAUUUAGCUUUCAAAUUCAAUUGGUCAGGACUUGGAUCUAACGGAAAACGUGACACAGAACAGAGCGCAAUAGCGUUCUAGGAUGCUUUAAUCUACGCUUUUGAUAUUGUGUUCAGGAGUUUACCGGAGAUGUACACGGCACAUGAUGCAGAUGCUUGUAAAUUGUAGGUGGGGGAAACAGAUUAUUUACCUGUAAGGAUUUCACUUGGUCGAAUACGUCUGUUUCCUUCUACUGAUUCAUUGGAGGUAAUGCCAUGCUCUAAUUUGAGCCUCCUUGCAGGGGAGAAAGAGGAUGGAUGGAAGGUGUGGCAUUUGUGUGAUGAAGUUAGCAUCCACUUCCUUUUUGCUUCGAUUAUCUUGAUUUGCAUUGCAAUAAUAGAACGGGAGAUUUUAUCCCCUUUCUGUUAGGUAUUUCCAGAAUGAGAAUAGAACAGAUUGCUGUUUUUUUUAAUAUUUGUUUUCGAAAUAUUCUCAGGCCUUUUAUGGAGAAGCUCAAACCACUUGACGUAGAUGCUUGGAAAGUGAGGGAGAGGGGACCAGAUCAUAUACCGGUUAGAAUUCCGAUGCAUCGAAUAUGUUUAUUUCCUUCUAUGCAUUUCAUAUGAGAUAAAACAUGCUGUAAUUUAAGCCUCGAUGCAGGUGUGGGUGGAGAAGGAUGCAAGCAGUGACAUUCCUGACAUUGACAUGAAGAAGUUUGUUUCCGAUUCUUUUUUUCUUUGAUUAUCAUGAAUUGUAUUGCAAUAAUGGAAUAUGAUUUGACCUCCUCCGUCAUAGACACUAACAUAUACUUAUAUAUAUAGACACAUAUGCUUUUGGUAUAUCAUAUGUUACGUAAGCGAUCAGAAACAAAUAGUAUAAGCUUGUCUUGGAUGAAGGGGUUCACAUCUCACAUGUUGCAUGUCCUUUGUUUUUUCUUUUACUGCAGAUACAACGUCCAUCGCGAUAUGCCUCUCAGAGAAUUUGUUGAUUUUAUUCGGUUAAGGAUUCAGCAUGAAUCUCCAUGGAAGAAGUCUUUGUUUGUCUACCUCAUGAACACCGAGCUUCCCAUUGGUGAGUAACACAUUUUUGUUUUUAUGCCGGCAGUAAUGAUAUCCGUGUUUGUCCCGAGUUUGGUGCAGAGGUAGUGACUCUAAUUGUUCCAUUGCUGUUGCACAGGUACCACCUUGAUGUCCGAAGUUGAUGAGAAAAAAAAGGACGAAUACGGGUUUGUUCGCAUCACCUACAGUGGAGAAGAGAGAGGAGGCUGGAACCAUUGAAGAGCUCUGAGACAGUCGCUAUUCGGCCUCGUAGCUAUUAACUUCGGCCAUCGCAAUACAAAUCCUAAAUUGUUUUCUCAGUACAAGUAAUAUUCUACGAAACAUUUACAUUUUUCUUUGCUGGAAAACUCUUCAACCGCAGAAUGUUAAUUAUUCAUCUUCAACAAAAGAUAUAAAAAUAAUGUAUAUUUGUCUUUUGAUUUUACAUUUUUAGAUGGUCGGUUACACUAGUCAAAUGGAGAAAAUUAAUGUAAUCCUAAAUUUCUCUUUUACUUGAGUGGAACUUGUAUUUACAUUCCCUGAUAAGUAAAAAAAAAUGUAAAUAUAGUUUUUGCAUCUCAAAUUUGAUCUCACCAUUGGAUACCCUAAAGUCAAGUCAAGUGUGAGAGGGCACUCGAACUUGGUUGUGUAAGAGGAAUACAACAUUAGUACCUACCAUCGACAUAUAGUAACAUCUUACAUAUGUAUAUUGAUGAUAAAUUGUAGUAUGUAAAUCCGUAUACUACAUUCGCAUUUUAAGAAACACUUAAGUUUAAUGUACACAUAUCAAUAUUAUUUAUUUUUAAAACAUCAGCCUACUAUACAUAAGCAUAGCAUACACACGUAUUUACAUUUCAAAUCUUUUCAAAUUUCACAUUUUUCAAUAAUACGAAUAAAACUCACAUAGUAUGCAUAGAUUGCAUUUGGAGAGAGAGAAGGGGAAGAGUUUUGCAUUUAAUUCAUCGUAAGACCAACUCCAAGGACAAAACUCAAACUCAGAUAUUUGGGUUUAAACCCAAGAAAUGCAAUUCAAUGGAGUGACUUAAAUCCAAAAACAUUAAAUUUGGACCCAAACUAAAACCCAAAUUUGGCUGAACUAAAAAUUUUUUAGGCCACGCAUUUUAUCAAAAAGCAAUGGGUGGGGGAUGUGAUUAAGUGCCCAACAACUGGGCGCUAGCUGCAAAACAAUAAUAUUUUAAGGGAUUACGAGCCGUUUGAUUACUGGGCCGUUGGUGAUCAAUGGUCCAGAUUAAAAUCUUAUUUUUCUAGCAAUCUCUAGAUUUUGACCUAACGGUAUAUUUGUUUUUUCUUUUUUUCAAAUCUAACAGUAAAAAUAAUCUCACGAUCGAAAUUUAAAUCCAAUAGAAAGAAUUUAUUGUUGUUUGGUGAUUGCUUAGGUAGUUUUGACGGUAGAUAUUGAAGUUUGGUUAAUGUGUGUAUUGAAGUUUGGUUGGUGUGUGUAUUGAAGUUUAAUUGGUUGUUUAGGUAAUUUUGUCUGGUGGAUAUUGAAGUUUGGUUGGUUGAUUUGUAUAUUGAAAUUUGAUUGGUGUGUGUAUUGAAGUUUUGUUUGUGUGCGUCUAUUAAAGUUUGGUUGGUUAUUUAGAUCGUUUUGACUGAUGGAUAUUGAAGUUUGGUUGGUGUGUUGAUGGAAGUUUAAUUGGCUAGUUUAUAUAUUGAAGUUUCGUUGGUGUGUGUAUUGAAUCUUGGUUGAUUGUUUGUAUUUUGAAGUUUUAAUUAGCAAAUUUUGUUUGCGUUGCCGUUACAUCUCCGGGUUAAAAACAACUAGAACACGUACGAUAAAUAUGAAACAACAUUAAUGGCAUCCAAGAGUACUAAAAAACUAGCUAGCAAAUUAACUUAUACCUCCUCAUCGUCAACUUCGAUUUUGAAUUGCUUCUUGGAACUUCUUAUGCGACCAAAUGCGGGUGCAACGAAACUUAGUAAGAGUUUGGUACUUUUUUUUUUUUUUCUGUCAAGAAGUUAAAUAGUAUAUGAGUUGUUUUGUUUUGUUGUGACGAACUUAUUACUAGGAGUUAUCAGUUUGGGACUAAAUAUUUUGUCUGCGUUAACUUCUUUUUAACAUUACAACAACAACAAAGCCUUUUCCCACUAAGUGGGGUCGGCUAUAUGAAUCCUAGAACGCCAUUGCGCUCGGUUUUGUGUCAUGUCCUCCGUUAGAUCCAAGUACUCUAAGCCUUUUCUUAGAGUCUCUUCCAAAGUUUUCCUAGGUCUUCCUCUACCCUUUCGGCCCUGAACCUCUGUCCCGUAGUCACAUCUUCGAACCAGAGCGUCAGUCGGCCUUCUUUGCACAUGUCCAAAACACCGGAACCGAUUUUCUCUCAUCUUUCCUUCAAUUUCGGCUACUCCUACUUUACCUCGGAUAUCCUCAUUCUCAAUCUUAUCCUUUCUCGUGUGCCCACACAUCCCACGAAGCAUCCUCAUCUCCGCUACACCCAUUUUGUGUACGUGUUGAUGUUUCACCGCCCAACAUUCUGUGUCAUACAACAUCGCUGGCCUUAUUGCCGUCCUAUAAAAUUUUCCCUUGAGCUUCAGUGGCCUACGACGGUCACACAACACGCCGGAUGCAUUCUUACACUUCAUCCAUCCAGCUCGUAUUCUAUGGUUGAGAUCUCCAUCUAAUUCUCCGUUCUCUUGCAAGAUAGAUCCUAGGUAGCGAAAACGGUCGCUUUUUGUGAUAUUCGCUAGAUUGCUCCGGUCAUUAGUGUGGAUAAGUAUAUAAAUGGAUAGAGAUAGGAAAGCAAACACAAGAUGUACGUGGUUCACCCAGAUUGGCUACGUCCACGGAAUAGAAGAGUUCUCAUUAAUUGUGAAGGGUUUACACACAAGUACAUAGGUUCAAGCUCUCCUUUAGUGAGUACAAGUGAAUGAUUUAGUACAAAUGACAUUAGAGUACAAAUGACAUUAGGAAAUAUUGUGGGAGAAUGAUCUCGUAAUCACGAAACUUCUAAGUAUCGGAGUGUGGUAUCAUCUUGACUUGCCUUAUCUGUCUCAUAGGUAGAUGUGGCAGCUUCUCUGGAAGUACUCUUCCUCCAUCCAGGGGUGGUAUCUUUAACUGGUGGAGAUGCACAAGGUAAUGUAUCAAUUUCACUUGAAGCUUACUUGUAGUUUCAGGCUUGGUCAAGCGCGAUACAAACCAUGUAGUAGGAGUCCCCCAAGUCGCCGAGCUAGGGGAUCUGCUGAAAGAGGUGACAGACAAGGUAAGCAAUCAGAGCUCCGGCUGAUUGUUCACCUUAUCCCCAUCUUGCAGCAGCAUGAAGGAUAAAGAGAAGAAAAAUGAGAAGAGAUGAUAUGGGAUACUUUUGCUUUUGAAGAAGUAACUUUCCACAGGCUUAUUCUUGAACUGAGCUGGAGGGUUUUCUGGUUUCCUCCAGAGUAUAAGGCCGACUGAAGAAUUUGAGGGUCAAAACAAGUCCAUCAAAUCUAGAGUACGUUCGACCCUGCUGAUAUGGGAUACUUUUGCUUUUGACAGAGUAAUGGAAGUAUCGGCACGUGUGCUGUUCCGCUUGUCUCUACAUGCUUCCUUGUAUCCUUCGCACUUGCCCUAUCUGUUCCUCAAGCAGAUGCGGUAUCUUCCCUGGAAACAUAAACUGUUGAAGAUGAGUACUCGAGAGCAAUGCCAGGUAAGUAAUCAGGUAAGGGGUUCCAGGCAGUCAGUUCCUGGCUGGGAGCUUGAUUUCAAGUGCUGACUGAUUGCUCUCUUUCUCCUUGUCUUGCAGGUAAAAACAAGGCCAAAGGAAAAGACAGGGAAAAAGCAUGAUAUGGGAUACUCUUGCUUUUAACCCUGAUGAUAUGAGAUAUUCUUGCUCUAGUAUAGCUUGUUUGCAGAGGUAUUAUCGGGGGGAAAGAAAGCUGAAUAUUUCGAAAGGCUUCGUUGGGAGUGCCCUCUCAGAUAUGAGGAAGGGUUGAGCAUUUUUGCAGGUCUGCCUGUCCGUUGGGGAUGGAGGUCGACAUAUAUAGGAGUCUCCCUAACAACAAGUAGUAAUGUUAUUCCUUUACCCUGCUUGGUCAUAGCACGGUAGUGGGAGCUGCCAGCUUCCCAUGUUUUAACUCUGUCAGAGCACUUUGAAAAAGUGGUAUGUGGUAUCUGGCUCUCGAGAUUCGGAAAACGAUGCUUCUUCGAUUUUUGAGAAAGCAAUCAUGCUGGGGGUCUGGCUCUCGAGAUUCGGGGAGCAGUGUCUUCGAUUUUUGAGAAAGUAAUCAUGUUGGGAGUCUGGCUCUCGAGAUUUGGAGGGCGGUGCCUCUUCGAUUUUGGAGUAAGCAAUCUUGUUGGGAGUAUUUUCUCGGAUGUGAGUAAAGGUUGGGCAUGUUUGCUAGUCUACCUUGCCACGAAGCACGGAGGUUGACACACAGGGACUUUCCAAUUAUCCAGCAGUGGUACUGUGCCUUUACCCUUGUGGGUAAUAAUAUGGUAGCUAGACCUUCAAAAUUUAUGUGUCUAAACUUUGUUAGUGCUGUUUCUUUGCUAUUCUUUUACCUUUCUUGGUCAGAGCGAUGUAGUGGGAGCUGCAAGCUUCACGUGCUCAACUUUGGCAGAGACUUUGGCAAAGUUAUCUGUGGUACCCAUGAGCUAUUGUUGCGUGUGGGAAGUGGGUGAUUGAACAGUAAGAUUCAUGUGCUUUCUACUUCACCAGAAGUCUUCGACAGAAUGCCCAUAAUUUCCGCAAAGCUGAGUGUGCGUGUGACAGGUGCUGACAAGGCUAGAAAAGUAGGUGCCUCUUCGAUUUCUGAGAUCGGCCCUCGUGGUCUCUGAGCAGCCCAGCUUUUGAGAAAGCGAGCGCCUCUUCGAUUGAUUCGGAGAACGAUGCCUCUUCGAUUUUUGAGAAAGCAAUCAUGCUGGGGGUCUGGCUCUCGAGAUUCGGGGAGCAGUGUCUCUUCGAUUUUUUUUAGAAAGUAAUCAUGUUGGGAGUCUGGCUCUCGAGAUUCGGAGGGCGGUGCCUCUUCGAUUUUGGAGCAAGCAAUCUUGUUGGGAGUGUUUUCUCGAAUGUGAGUAAAGGUUGGGCAUGUUUGCUAGUCUACCUUGCCACGAAGCACAGAGGUUGACACACAGGGACUUUCCAAUUAUCCAGCAAUGGUACUGUUCCUUUACCCUCUCUUCGAUUUUUGAGAAAGUAGUCAUGUUGGGAGUCUGGCUCUCGAGAUUCGGAGGACGGUGCCUCUUCGAUUUUGGAGCAAGCAAUCUUAUUGGAGUGUUUUCUCGAAUGUGAGUAAAGGUUGGGCAUGUUUGCUAGUCUACCUUGCCACGAGGCACAGGGGUUGACACACAGGGACUUUCCAAUUAUCCAGCAGUGGUACUGUUCCUUUACCCUUGUGGGUAAUAAUAUGGUAGCUAGACCUUCAAAAUUUAUGGGUCUAAACUUUGUCAGUGCUGUUUCUUUGCUAUUCUUUUACCCUUCUUGGUCAGAGCGAUGUAGUGGGAGCUGCAAGCUUCACGUGCUCAACUUUGGCAGAGAACUUUGGCAAAGUUAUCUGUGGUACCCAUGAGCUAUUGUUGCGUGUGGGAAGUGGGUGAUUGGACAGUAAGAUUCAUGUGUUUUCUACUUCCCCAGAAGUCUUCGACAGAAUACCCAUAAUUUCCGCAAAGCUAAGUGUGCGUGUGACAGGUGCUGACAAGGCUGGAAAAGUAGGUGCCUCUUCGAUUUCUGAGAUCAGCCCUCGUGGUCUCUGAGGAGCCCAGCUUUUGAGAAAGCGAGCGCCUCUUCGAUUUCUGAGAUCGGCUUUCGUGGUCUUUGAGCAGCCCAACUUUUGAGAAAGCAAACACCUCUUCGAUUUAUGCGAUCAACCCUCGUGGUCUCUAAGCAGCCCAGCUUUUGAGAAAGCAAACGCCUCUUCGAUUUCUGAGCAGGCGCCUCUUCGAUGUCUGAAGCUCCGUCGAGUGCAGCUUUUUAUAGGGGCUGGCAUUAAGUUCCAAAGCACACUUGAAUCUCCACCAGUAGAAGCUCCAUUCUUGCACUUCUAAGAUCUUGAUUUGUCCGACCUCUUCUCUCUUCAACACCUUUGAAAAUGUCUGGCCCCUCCGACCGUCGUUUUGACUUGAACCUUGUUGAAGAGGCAGCCCCGCCUUCUCCAGACAACAUAUGGCGCCCAUCCUUCGUCUCCCCUACUGGUCCUCUUACCGUUGGGGAUUCCGUGAUGAAGAAUGAUAUGACCGCUGCGGUGGUGGCCAGGAACCUUCUCACUCCCAAAGAUAACAGACUACUUUCCAAACGGUCUGAUGAGUUAGCUGUUAAGGAUUCGCUGGCUCUCAGUGUUCAGUGUGCAGGUUCUGUGUCUAAUAUGGCCCAACGCCUAUUUGCUCGAACCCGCCAAGUUGAAUCAUUGGCGGCCGAAGUGAUGAGUCUCAAACAGGAGAUUAGAGGGCUCAAGCAUGAGAAUAAACAGUUGCACCGGCUCGCACAUGACUAUGCUACAAACAUGAAGAGGAAGCUUGACCAGAUGAAGGAAACUGAUGGUCAGGUUUUACUUGAUCAUCAGAGAUUUGUGGGUUUGUUCCAAAGGCAUUUAUUGCCUUCGUCUUCUGGGACUGUACCGCGUAAUGAAGCUCCAAAUGAUCAACCUCUGAUGCCUCCUCCUUCUAGGGUUCUGUCCAGUACUGAGGCUCCGAAUGAUCCCCCUCCGAUGCCUUCUCUUUCUGAGGCUCUACCGACUGCUGAGACUUCUCCUAAGCAACCUUUGUGAAGGCUCCAUCUUGUUUGUUUAUUUUGACUCAUGUAUAUGUACAUAUUUGUAGCUUAUCGAGGAUAUCAAUAAAUAAGCUUUUCUUCAUUUCAACGUAUUGUGUUAAAUACACCAAAGCCUUCUUCGCUAAGUUCUUUGAAUUUUCUUUUGUUGAAGCUUGUAUGUUGAAGCUUUCUGAGUGGAGCAUGUAGGUUGGGGUAGUGUUCCCUUAAUUUUCCGAGUGAGGAAAACUUCUCGGUUGGAGACUUGGAAAAUCCAAGUCACUGAGUGGGAUCGGCUAUAUGAAUCUUAGAACGCCAUUGUGCUCGGUCCUGUGUCAUGUCCUUCGUUAGAUCCAAGUACUCUAAGUCUUUUCUUAGAGUCUCUUCCAAAGUUUUCCUAGGUCUUCCUCUACCUCUUCGGCCCUGAACCUCUGUCCCAUAGUCGCAUCUUCUAAUCGGAGCGUCAGUAGGCCUUCUUUGCACAUGUCCAAACCACCGUAACCGAUUUUCUCUCAUCUUUCCUUCAAUUUCGGCUACUCCUACUUUACCCCGGAUAUCCUCAUUCCUAAUCUUAUCCUUUCUCGUGUGCCCACACAUCCAGCGAAGCAUCCUCAUCUCCGCUACACCCAUUUUGUGUACGUGUUGAUGCUUCACCACCCAACAUUCUGUGCCAUACAGCAUCGCCGGCCUUAUUGCCGUCCUAUAAAAUUUUCCCUUGAGCUUCAGUGGCAUACGGCGGUCACACAACACGCCAGAUGCACUCUUCCACUUCAUCCAUCCAGCUUGUAUUCUAUGGUUGAGAUCUCCAUCUAAUUCUCCGUUCUUUUGCAAGAUAGAUCCUAGGUAACGAAAACGGUCGCUCUUUGGUAUUUCUUGAUCUCCGAUCCUCACCCCUAACUCGUUUUGGCCUCCAUUUUGCACUGAACUUGCACUCCAUAUAUUCUGUUUUUGAUCGGCUUAGGCGAAGACCUUUAGAUUCCAACACUUCUCUCCAAAUGUUAAGCUUUGCAUUUACCCCUUCCUGAGUUUCAUCUAUCAACACUAUAUCGUCUGCGAAAAGCAUACACCAAGGAAUAUCAUCUUGAAUAUGUCCUGUUAACUCAUCCAUUACCAACGCAAAAAAGGUAAGGACUUAAGGAUGAGCCUUGAUGUAAUCCUACAGUUAUGGGAAAGCUUUCGGUUUGUCCUUCAUGAGUUCUUACGGCAGUCUUUGCUCCUUCAUACAUAUCCUUUAUAGCUUGGAUAUAUGCUACUCGUACUCCUUUCUUCUCUAAAAUCCUCCAAAGAAUGUCUCUUGGGACCCUAUCAUACGCUUUUUCCAAAUCUAUAAAGACCAUGUGUAAAUCUUUUUUCCCAUCUCUAUAUCUUUUCCAUCAAUCUUCGUAAGAGAUAGAUUGCCUCCAUGGUUGAGCGCCCUGGCAUGAACCCGAAUUGGUUGUCCGAAACCCGUGUCUCUUGCCUCAAUCUAUGCUCAAUGACUCUCUCCCAGAGCUUCAUUGUAUGACUCAUUAACUUAAUACCCCUAUAGUUCAUGCAAUUUUGUACGUCGCCCUUAUUCUUGUAGAUAGGCACCAAAGUGCUCGUUCGCCACUCAUUUGGCAUCUUCUUCGUUUUCAAAAUCCUAUUGAAAAGGUCAGUGAGCCAUGUUAUACCUGUCUCUCCCAAAACUUUCCACACUUCGAUUGGUAUAUCGUCUGGGCCUAUUGCUUUUCUAUGCUUCAUCUUCUUCAAAGCUACAACCACUUCUUCUUAACAUUAUGUUGUCAAAAAUAUUUUGUGAACAUUUUGACAAAAAAUAAUUCAAAUUAUGAUACUAAAUUCUUUUCUUCACAAAGAAACGUAACUAGAAUGACUACAUUAUUGGAUUAUAUCAUGCCUAUGUCAUGGCUCUAUUAUUGGACUAUGUUAUAAUCCAUUAUUUAUGAUCUAUAUAAGAUUUCAAUUCUUUGCAAGCGUUGGAUCAGAUUUUCUUAUCUUAAUCUCACCCUCAGAUUUUCAUUAAUCUUUUUAUCCUCUCAAUAUAAAAAGAGGUCUCUAUAUAUCUAUCACAUUCAUCAUAUUUUAUCCAUUCCAUUUUCCUUGUAUGAAACGAAAUCCUGCAAUGGUGUCGUUGAAUGUUUGCAAACAACCCAUGGAUUUUACCUGAAAGGUGCUCGUGUGGCCCUUAGUCAAGCUCUGGUAAACUUGAGUCUUGAUCUUCUUCAGAAAAUGGGAUAUAUGGAACUGCAGACCCCAUUUUUCAAGAGCAAAGAUAUCAAGUGAAAGAGUGCUCAAAACUGUUUAUGGGGCCAUAUAGAGUUCGUUACAAUCCAUGCUUGUGUUUUUUUAAGAUUGAUGUUUGUGUGAUUGAACAUUCUUUUAGUUAUGAUACUGCCAAGCUAAUCUCUGUCAUUGUUCAGAGUCUUCCUUUAAAUUAGAAUAGUUAGAAUAUUUCAUUUAUUUUUUGUCUUUUAUACUGGAUACACUUGCAUUCUUAUGAAAAAUUACAUAUUUAUUCACAUAAAUAUUACAUCAGGUGCUUCAUACAUAUCUUCAGAAUUCUUCUACUUUGCAAUCGUUUUUGUCACCUAAUUCCAGCAAAUACUAGCAUCUCAGAAAACAACUUAAUAAUAUGUAAGAUUGACUCAAAUUGUCACGCAAGGGGCUGUAGCGUCACCUUUGCUUGUACAAUUAACUGGACCCUUUUACUUUACAUUUUGACAUUAUAUUAAUGUGUCCUUGUUCAUGAUCUGAGAUUAUUUUAUUUAUUUUUAUUUCAUAUUAGGCUAAGAGGAUGCUCAAAAAUCUUCUUCUGAUAUGUGAUGAUUUUUAUGCACCAUUUACCCCUGCUUUUUAUAAAAGAAAGUUGAAUAGUUUUUAUGAAUCUGAUGAAUGUAGAUGAUUCAAUUCUAAGUUUGAUCAAUUUGUAUUUUAUCACUUUCAGUCACAGCAAAUCAAGAGCCAGCCAAAUGGCCAUGUCUAUGGCCAAAGGGGCCAUGACCAUAGGAGAGAUGAGGUUGUUGCUGCUCCAGGAGCGCCUGAUAGAGUAUAGAAAUUGAUGUAUAGGAUGAUGACAUGUGUAAUUAGAUUAGAAGAUGUGUUAGUUAAGACAGUUAGCCUUGUUGUUGGAAGUGUAUAAAUAUAUCAACCUCUUGUAUUACUUGGUGACUACGAAAUAUAUCAAGAACAUUCAUUCUCUCUCUCUCCUCUCUGAGUUGUUAUCUCUCUCUAGAAUUUCUGUAUACAAUUUCAUAGAUUUAGUUACAUUUACAUGGUAUCACUCGCCUUUGUUGCCUGCGCUUGAUCUUCGAUCCUCCUUUUCUCCUUUUCUGCUUCCACUCGCCUUUGUUGCAUGCGCUUGAUCUUGUAAAUUUGUCUUCGGUAUCUUCAAUUCUCUUCGUCUUCUUGAAAUCCUGAGUUCUAGGGUUUUUCUUGGUUGAUCGUCUUCAUGCGUCGAUCAUUUCUUCUGCUCUUUUGGUUAGUGCAUACCACCUGUUUGCUAAAAGUUCUCACUGAGUUUGUUUGCAGCAAUUUCAAUGGUGACUGCAUCGCAACUUCAACUUGUGCAAUCCCCGAUUACUGCCCUAAUCUCCUCCAUUUCGACUUCGGUGAAUGUCAAAUUGGAUGACUCUAACUAUCUUAAUUGGCACUUUCAGAUACAACUCUUGUUGGAGAGCAAUGGAAUUAUGGGAUUUGUUGAUGGCUCACAUCCCUGUCCUUCUUAAUUUUCCCAUCACUCUGGUGUCUCUGGUAUGAACUCUAGCUCUAAUGCUUCUGUUGCAACGGAUGAGUUUAUGAUUUGGAAAAUGCAUGAUAAGGCUGUAAUGCAACUGCUAACUGCUACCCUUUCGCCUGCUGCUCUAUCAUGUGCUAUUGGUAGUAAGAGUUCUCAGGAUAUAUGGAUUCGUUUGAAAGAACAAUUAUCUACUGUGUCUAAGACUAGUAUCUUUCAAAUGAAAUCUAAUCUCCAAACAAUUAAGAAGGGUUCUGAUUCUGUGUCCCAGUAUCUUUAUAGGAUAAAAGAGGCUCGGGAUUACUUAUCUGCUGCUGGAGUUCACUUUGCUGAUGAAGAUAUUGUUAUCCUUGCUCUCAAUGGUUUACCCUCUGAAUAUAAUACUUUUCAGUGUGUCAUUAGAGGUCGUGAGAAUGUGAUAUCUCUUAAAGAGUUUCGAUCUCAGUUGCUUGCUGAAAAGAUUAUUGUUGAGAAUUCUACCACUGCACCAUUUAUUACUGCAAUGGUUGCAAACAAUGUUUCGCAUUCCGGAAAGGGUACAUCUGGUCAGUCUCAAUUUUUCUCUGGCGGUUAUAAGACGUUCAAUGGCAACAGAAACAAAGGAAAAGGCAAGUUUAAUCAAGGGUUUCGGUCUUAUCCACCCAAACUGUCUUUUUCCACUCAAACACAUGUGCUACCAACACCUACCAACACCGAAUCCGGGCAUCCUUGGUCACUCCCUAGUGCAGUCUUAUGGCAAUUCAAGUGCUCCCUUGGUGCAAACCUGUCAACUUUGUAAUGCUGAAGGACACACAGCACCAUUCUGCCGUCCUAACCCUUAUAACAGAGCUAAUUGUCAAAUUUGUGGCAAGCACAAUCACAGCACAUGGUAUUGUUUUUAUAAUGACAAAGGUCCUAAUUUUGUUGGUGCUACCAGUCAGUUUUAUCCGUCUCCGAUGAAUUCCUCAAACUUUGGUGCUCCCGGUUACAAUGCUUCUAGUCAGCAAUCUGCAAUGACUGGACAUCAAUUCUAUCCUCAGCAUCACUCUCCUCAAGCUCUGCAUACUGUGAUGACUCCGUCACCUUUCGUGACAUCUCCUUCUCACUCUAAUCCUCAAGUAUGGCUCACUGACUCUGGUGCUACAAAUCACAUGACUUCGGAUCUCAGCAACUUAUCUUUGGCAUCUCCAUACCCUACCUCUGAGAUUGUCCAAACUGCCAAUGGUGAAGGUUUGCCUGUAUCUCAUAUUGGAAGUACUGUUCUUAAUCUUUCCACAGUUAAUUUUGUUCCUCCAAUGAAGCUCAAUUCUGUGUUAUAUGUUCCGAAGUUAACACAAAACUUAUUAUCUGUGCAUCGGAUCUGUUUGGAUAACAAUUGCUGGAUAAUUUUUUAUGCUUUUUGCUUCUGGAUUCAGGACAAGGCCAUAGGGAGGAUCAUUUACAAAGGAGUAUGCAGUAAUGGUCUAUACUCAAUUCCCUGUCUUUCAACCGCUUCUCAUGGAUCCACCUCAGUACCGUUCCAAGCUCAAGCUCUUCUUGGUCAGCACAUUCACUCUACUACUUGGCACAAUAGACUAGGCCAUCCAUCUAAUUCUAUUGUCUCUUUGAUGUUAAAACAAGCUCAUAUUUCCUGUCCAAAACCAUCCUUACCUGUAAUGUGUUCUAGUUGUUUGGAGGGAAAGUUUUGUAAAUUUCCUUUUCCUCUAAGUCCCAAUAAGUCUAUAAAACCCUUUGCUCUAGUUCACAGUGACCUUUGGGGUCCAGCCCCUUCUGUUUCUAUUGAUGGUUACAAGUAUUAUGUGACCUUUAUUGAUGAGUGUACAAGAUACUGCUGGAUUUUCCCAUUAAUAAAUAAAUCUGAUGUCUUUGCCAAAUUUCUUGCAUUCUAUUCCUUUGUUGUUACUCAGUUUGCAACUCCUAUUCAAACUCUUCAAAGUGGUGGGGGGGAGAGUAUGUCAGUAAAGCAUUUUAGUCAUUUCUUCUUGCAAAAGGCAUUACACAUCAUAAAUCCUGUCCAUAUACACCUGAGCAAAAUGGCCUAGCUGAGAGAAAGCAUAGGCAUAUCAUUGAAACAACGGUGACCCUUUUACAAACUGCUAGAUUACCUGCCAUGUUUUGGUCCUAUGCUUGUCAAACCGCCAUAUACCUCAUCAAUAGAAUGCCCACUCCUGUCCUAGGCAAUCAUUCUCCAUUUGAACUAUUGUUUGGGCUUCUGCCUGUCAUUUCCCACCUUAGAUCAUUUGGAUGUGCUUGUUAUCCGUUAUUAAAGCCUUAUAAUGACUCUAAGCUGCAACCAAAAACCACUAAGUGUAUUUUCCUGGGGUAUGCUACCAACUAUAAAGGGUAUCUAUGUUAUGAGGUUUCUAAACAAAGACUAUACAUAUCACGGCAUGUAGUGUUUGAUGAGUCUCAAUUCCCAUACACAGACUUAUUGGUCCAUCAUAACUCCUCACACCUUAGUUCUACCAUCCACAGUCCAGUACCUAUUGUUUCCACUGAUAAUGUUGUGGUAUCUAUGCCUAUUGUUCCCAUAACAUCACCAUCACAUCCUGCCUCUUCUAAUUUGCUUGGUUCUCCUACCAUAUCACUCUCUCCAAUUACAUCAUCACCACUAUCCUCUCAAUCCAUUACUGCUUCUACUACUUCUCAACCUCCUGUGGCACUUGUCAAUGGUUCUCCUCAGUCUCAAGUUCCAGCAGUACAAUUUCAUCCUGAUACUUUGUCAGUGGUCCUGGAGGUUCCACCACUCAAUUUACAUCCUAUGCAAACUCGGAGCAAGAGUGGCAUUAUCAAGAAAAGAGCUUUGUUAGCUACUGUUCAGGAAUCUGAGGGUACUGAUUUGUCUCUUAUUGAACCAACUUCCUAUAAAUCUGCACUUAAGAAUCCAAUUUGGUUUAAGGCUAUGCAAGAGGAAAUCAGUGCUUUGCAUACACAAGGUACCUGGAAUCUGGUGGUCUUACCUUCCUCAAAGAAUUUGGUGGGGUGCAAGUGGAUCUUCAAGAUCAAGAGACAUUCUGAUGGUACAAUUGCACGGCAUAAAGCUAGAUUAGUAGCUAAAGGGUUCAGUCAAGAACCUGGAAUUGACUAUGGGGAAACGUUCAGUCCUGUGGUUAAACCUACAACUGUUAGGUUAGUAUUGGCUCUUGCAGCUCAGUUUGGUUGGUCCCUUCGACAACUCGAUGUCAAAAAUGCCUUUUUACAUGGCAUUUUAGAAGAAGAAGUGUACAUGGCUCAGCCUCCUGGGUUUGAAGAUGUUCAUCAUCCUCACCUUGUUUGCAAACUGCACAAAUCCCUAUAUGGACUCAAGCAAGCUCCCCGAGCUUGGAAUGAUAGAUUCACAAAAUUCCUGCCUCAUUUGGGGUUUCAAAACACUUAUUUGGAUUCCUCUUUGUUUGUCAAAAAUGUUGAUUCUGGUAUUGUCAUUCUCCUACUCUAUGUGGAUGAUAUUAUCAUCACAGGGAGUGCAUCUGCAUCCAUACAACAGGUUAUUACUGCAUUGACAACUGAGUUUGACAUCAAGGAUUUAGGGGAUUUGCAUUUCUUUCUUGGCAUUCAAAUUUCACGAAUUGCAACUGGUUUAUUCUUGUCUCAAUCGAAAUAUGUGUUGGAUCUUCUCACCAAAACAGAUAUGCUCGAUGCAAAACCUUGUGACACUCCUUGUUUGCCGUAUAACAGGCUUCUCAAGGAUGAUAGUGAUCCAUAUACCAAUCCUACUUUGUACAGAAAUGUGGUAGGUGUUUUGCAGUACCUUACGUUUACAAGGCCGGAUAUAGCAUUCUCUGUCCAUCAAGUGGCUCAGUUUAUGCAAUCACCUAUGGUUGCCCACUUUACCGCAGUUAAACGAAUCUUGAGGUACUUAAAAGGAACCCUUCGUCAUGGCAUCAGUUAUUCUCGAGGAUCGCUUCAAUUAAAGGCCUUCAGUGAUGCUGACUGGGCAGGGGACCCUAAUGACCGACGGUCGACCACUGGCUUGGUUGUGUUUUUAGGGAAUAGUCUUAUUUCCUGGUCAUCCAAGAAGCAACUGACAGUCUCCCGAUCUUCUACAGAGGCCGAAUACCGUGCCCUGUCAUCCACAUCUGUAGAAUUGGAAUGGAUCCAGCAACUGUUAGUCUUCUUGCAGGUUCCUUUAUCCUCUACACCUGUGUUGUUUUGUGAUAAUUUGUCGGCCAUUGCGUUGUCUUUUAAUCCAGUUCAACAUCAACGCACUAAACACAUUGAGAUUGAUGUCCAUUUUGUGAGGGAACGAGUGGCAAAUAAGCAACUCUCUGUGCAGUUUGUGUCGUCCAAAGAGCAGUUUGCUGACAUUCUGACUAAAGGCUUGAGUUCUCCUUUAUUUCAUACUCAUUGUACCAAUCUCAUGCUUCGUGCAUCCCAGCAUGAGUUUGCGGGGGGAUGAUAGAGUAUAGAAAUUGAUGUAUAGGAUGAUGACAUGUGUAAUUAGAUUAGAAGAUGUGUUAGUUAAGACAGUUAGCCUUGUUGUUGGAAGUGUAUAAAUAUCUCAACCUCUUGUAUUACUUGGUGACUACGAAAUAUAUCAAGAACAUUCAUUCUCUCUCUCCUCUCUGAGUUGUUAUCUCUCUCUAGAAUUUAUGUAUACAAUUUCAUAGAUUUAGUUACAUUUCCAGCGCCAACCCCUUCUUCUCCUAUGGCCAUGGCUCUAGACCUCCUCUCCUCUUUCUGCUUGAUCAUGAUAAUUGACGUGUAUUUAGCAUGGUCAACAAAGAGGACUUCGAGCGGGUUAAAGCCAGAACUACUAGGUGUGUUAAGAUUGUAUUCAUAUACAUACAAGAUAUUAGAGUGGUUCAACUUUAAUUGUACUGCUUUCACUUAGUAGUAUACUUUGUAUUGGUUUUGAUAAAAAAAAUUUGCAAAAAGUUGGGCGCACUCUAAGAUGUUAAUUAUCUUGAAAUUUAAAGCCUCUAAAACUUCAUAACGGAGAUCAGUUUUAAAUGAAAAUGGCUUGUUUAUGUAGACUUCGCAAUUAACUUAUAAUUUGAUUUCAUAUGUUGAAACAUUAGGGUUAUGUAUUGACGAUGGUAAGUAAUGGCAUAGAAGAGGAAUAUUAGCAACUUUCUCUUUUUGUACCUUUGCUUUUUACAUUUUAUAUUUAUUUUUAAGAUCAUAUAAUUAAAUUGUUAUUUAAUACUACGAUCUAAUGGUAUUCUUCUUCAUGUGUAAAUGAGAGGUUUUAUAUUCGAUUUUUAUCAAAGGCGAAAUAGAACCAAACUCAUUGUGACGUUACCCCCACCUCUAGUGUAUAUAAUAUUGUAUGUAUUAAAAAAAGAUCCUAUAAUUAAACUUGAUAAUCGAAACCAUUAAUUUGUGCACCACUUUGUAAAGAAUAGAAGUUAUCAAAAUAAAAAAAAUUAAUUGUGACAAAUAUAAUUAGCCAGCUAAUAUUCAUGCCAAACUACUUGCCAAAAACACAAAAUAAGGUAGGUUGGUGCUUUAUUGUAGUGACGGAAAGUAAUCAUGUUUAUGCACCCAGGCGCAUGUAAGAUUUCCACUGAUUCCCCUCCCUCCUAAUAAUUAGUCUUUGUUGGCUUGCUCACUCUCUUUUCCUUCACUGAAAAUUUUCCCAAGUGGUUAUUUUCAGGUAAGGUUUUUCAGAAACCCUCGUUUUGAACUUGUCGUGGGACUAUUGUUUGUUUCAUAAACAACUUGAGCAGGGGUAGGGUUUGGUUCAUCCUCUGAUGAUUGACAUGUUGUGGAUCGAGAGAAGACUACGAUCGAUGCCCAGGAAAACUCGAUCAAUCAUUCGUUUUGGAAGAACAAGAGCCGUGGUCCUACGGUUCAUGAUUGUACAAACAAUGAUCCCACCAGCUGAUGAUCAAGAAAAAUGGACUUGCCACUUGCCAGACAUUGUCACAACGACAAGGCUUUGGCAUCGAUCAUGUCAUGCAAGUGGGACGACCGAUCGAGCAUUUUCAUCACUGACAACCUCCUAAGUAAAUCAAAAGAAAAUUAUUUGGCAUAACUAAUGUUCAAAAAGAGAAAAAUGGUAUGCGGAAUUUAUUUCUAGAGAGAGAAGCAAUGACUUGGCUGACCCCAACAUCAACAUGCAUGAUUGUAACAACUCAAAUAACAGAAAAAGAUCUCUCCUCUCUAAUCGUUUGAGGCAUAUACGUAAAAAACAGCCUACCACCUCAGCUUGCUGCCAAUCAAUCAACAAUAAUAAUGUUCACUAUAAAAUUUUCUCAGCAUUGAAUUUUUGUGGUAAAUUCCCUCUUGAAAAAUGGUUGAGUGUGACCUCUAUUUCCUUCUAUCUCUGCAGGUUGAAAAAGUUGUGACGGAGAUAUUUGAUGGAUUCUCUUCCAAACUUUGCCUCCAUAAUUUUCGUUGCAAAAAUCUUUCUACUUUGAUUCGCUCGCUUUUCCUGGUUUUUUUUCUUUACAAGCACGAGAGGAAUCGAACUCGUACCUAUAUAUCUUAAUCUUAACCACACCCUAUCUUCAUGUGUUUUCAUUUAAUAAUUAAGUAGCGAUUUCGUUACUAAACUAAUUAAGAACCUUGAUUGAAAAAUCUUACAACCCAGUCGAAAAUCUCAAGUGGAUAUGGUAAUUUUGCUCCAAUAGUUGGCAGCAAAAUUAUCUGGUACUUCAUGCAACUUGUCAUUCAACUUGGCGCACCAGUUGGCCAAACGUCACAACGAUGAAGGGAUGAAACAGGCUAAAAGCCAACAAAACAAACCAAACAUCUUGUAAAAAGGGAACAUAAUUUACGCUGGUCUUCUUCUUAGAUUUACAGCUUUCAAGUGUGCAUGAUGAUACAAUUUUGUUCCUGCAUGAAAACAAAAGGGACGAUCAAAUAUGUUAUCUUUUUAACUUUUUACAACAUCACUUGUAACGGUAUUUAAAUAUAAUUAUAAAAUGUUAUGCGAGAAAUUUAAAAUACAUAACAGUAUACUAUUAGCUUGAGAUACUAGUUUGAGGUUUGAUUAAUCAUAAAGCUCCAAGUUAAGAAAAAGGGUAAGUUAAUAACUUUGAUAAUUUUAACUUGAGCAACAAAAGUUUGAUGGUGCUGCAACUACAAUAUUAUUACAUAGUAUCUCUUGUGCACGAAUAACAUGUCUUGGUGACAGAUAGAAAUUCACUCCUGAUUUCUAUCCGGAGUAAACAGAACAUGGAAUUCAAAUUUUUCAAAUUCCAACUUAACGCUCAGGUUCGGACACUAACAUCUGGAGAGGAUCCGAAUUCCACCCUGACGACGCAAAGCCUCCUCUACUUCCCGACAAACCUCCAACAAAACCUCUCUGAUUCUUCUCCUUUUAUAAUUUUGUGUUAGUACAAGAAUCUCAUGUUAUAUUAAUCCUAAAGGCUUUCUUACCAUAACAAUAUAAUAUCCGGCCAUGACUCUUAUCCCUACUCCCUAUUACAAUGAUUCCUCAACCAUUUGAUCCUCUGGAUCUAAUUAACAUAUCAAGUACACAUGGGCAUGGCCUCAUCACAUAAUAAUUUAAGGGGUGUGCUAUCCACACACCCCUUUUUACUUCUCUCACAUCCUUUUUUACUUUUCCCACACCCCUUGUUAAUUUCGGUCAUUUGAUAUUCUUCAAUUCAUCCGAUCCAACAGUCAAAAAUUAAAAGAGUGUGAGAGAAGUAAAAAUGGUGUGUGGAUAUCAUGUCCCUAAUUUAAAUACCGAAUCAAGAAAAAUCUUAGGUGUAACCAUUUCACUAUUUCAUUUUCUCACUCUUUUAAGUUGUGAAAGGUAGAUAAUACAACAAUUACAUGAAAGAUUGAUAAAAUCUCUCCCAAAAUUGAAUUUAAACAAAACCAGCUUGACGAGAAAUAUUAUUGUGUUACGUGAGAUUAUGUUAUAUUAUUGUGGCGAAAGCACUUAUUACGUGACCAAAUCACAUGAUAAGCAUUUUAGAUCAUAUGACGAGUGUUGUAGUAAACACAUCAAGAUGUAUCCUGGGAAAGAUUCUCUCCAUCUGGACACCAUGAAAUCAAUCAUAUUCUAAACUCUCAUUAGGGUUUUCAAUGAUUUGUUUUAAUUAACUUUGUUUAUGAAAGGGGUGGUGGUGGCUGAUUAAUUAGUGGCAGGUGGGAUUCUGAUUCUGAUUUUCUUACAUAAUUGACACUCACACACACGCACCAAAACAAAUGUUGCAAUGCAUGACGUGAUAUGGACGGUUGUGAUGUGGGUUGUCAUGCUCGAUAUAAAAAGGAAACCAGUGGCGGGGAAACAUGCAAGUUUUAGGGUUUUUUGUACUUGUCAAAUAUUCCAAUUGUAUUGACGUUAUUGGAUGGCUUUUAUACUACAUGUUACAGCGGUACAUGCUUAGAGUGCCUGAGAAUGUUAGGGUUAGUCGCGAACAAACACUAGUGUAUCUCUUUCUGAUGAAUAAAGAGUAAAAUUUGCAUAUAUCAACCAUUAAAAAAUUAUACAGUCGUGAGUGUAGCAAAAUCUUAAUUGGAGUUCGUUUGAAACUAUUUAGCAAAAUCUUAAUUAUUUACCGUUGUAACAAUUUCAUUUCCUAGUGAAGCUAAGCGGCAUAGGAUACUUCAUUGCAAUGAGAGGUCCAUCACAAGCCAGUUUUAGGUACAUGGGGUCAGGGUGCAUUACUCCACGGGCCAUGGAACAUGGCUAGCAGGUCCCGGACAAGGUCGGGUCAUUGAUAACCCAGGGUCCCUCACCGCAGCAGAAUCCCACACACUAAUGGCGCGUUUACUAAUCCGUAAUCAAAUUGAGAGGAAUUGGAUUGAGGGGGAAUUGGAUUGAGGAAGAAUUGAAAUGAGGUGGAAUCAGAAUCAGAUUCCUGUUGAAGUUGUUUACUAAAACUGUCAGGAAUCGGAGUAGGAAUGAUGUUGAGUCCAUAUAAGUUGUUUACUAAUUCAUUUCAAUCGGAAUGAAAACUAGGUUGAUUACUUUAUUGCCCUUACAUAAAUAAAUUAUUUUCAUACUAAUUAAUUUAAUUAAAUUCUUAAUUAAAUUUAUAUAAUAAAAUUCAUCUAUAUAAGCAUGUAUAAAUAGGUUUUAUUUAUUUAUUAAAAGAUGGCAAAAAUGAUAUUGAAUCUAUAUAAGUUGUUUACUAAUUCACUUCAAUCGGAAUGAAAACUAAGUUGAUGACUAAAUUGCCCUUACAUAAAUAAAUUAUUUUCAUACUAAUUAAUUAAAUUAAAUUCUUAAUUAAAUUUAUAUAAUAAAAUUAUCUAUAUAAAAAAAUAUAAAUAGGUUUUAUUUAUUUAUUAAAAAUGACAUAAUGAGUGUCAAAUGAAGGGCAAUGUUGGGAUAAUAAGAAACAAGUGAGGGCAUAAUUGGAAUAAAAGAUGCAUUCCUGAUUCCCUUGCCCUUAGGGAAUUCAAAUACCUCACAAAACUAGGGAAUCCGGUUCCUCCAAUUUCAGGAAUUGGAUUCCUUGUUUCGUGUGGGCUCCACCACUUUUUUGAUUCCUUAAUAUUUAGUAAACACCGGAAUACUCCGUAAUCGGAAUUCAAUUCCCUUUCUUUAUUCCGAUUACCCUUACGUAAACAUGCCAUAAGGCCGGUAUAAGGGAGAGGGAUCCUCAAUAGUACCUUACAAAAGGGGAGGGGGUCCUCCAUUUGAUGAAAAGAAUUUUUGCCGGAUCAUUUUCAUAAGGAUCCUGUAAUCGUGACCGUUCAUCGUAUAUUGUGCGAUUAGAAAUUAUUUUAAAAUUUAAAAUUUAAAAUUAAAUAUAAAUAGUACUUAACGAAAACUGACCGCAUGAUAUACGAUGAACGAUCACGAUUACGAGAUUCCUAAGAUCCUUAGGAAAAGAAUGCGACGAAGAUCCUUUUCCCCAUUUGAUAUACAUGAAACAUCAUCAACCCUUAUCCUCCCAUAACCCAAGUGGAUAACAAAUGCAACUUUUUAUGUUAAAAAUCAAAUGACAUGAUUUAUCAAAUUUUAUAAAUAACGAGUUUGAUAUUAAUUUAUUUUUUUAAUAUAAAUAUAUUCCAAAUAUAAUAAAAUAAAUCAAUGAUGUUAUCAUGAAAAUGAGUGCGUAUAGAAAGUUAACAUAGCCAUGAUACUUAACAAUAAACUACUACGAGUAAUCAGUGGUUAAAAAUGAAUUUUAAGUCCAAAUUUCACACGACGUGUUUUUAGUUCGAUUUCUAGCGCUAGCAAAUAACACGAUGGUGGUCAGAGGAAGCCUGAAAUGCUUAUAUGAGUCUUCCAAACUCUUGAAAUAAUGAAUUGUCGUUGCGAAGCCACUAGUUAGUCUCCUUUUACAAAACAAAAAUGGUACUUUAACAAUAGACUUGAUUGAUCUCGUACUUACUGUGCAAUUUUCAUUUGUUAAUAAUUUGAGAAAAAAAUUUGCAGUAUGAUAGUUGAUAAUGUGGAUGGACAUGCUACUCUCACAAAAGAACGUAUCCUCUUACAUUUGAGUAUCAUCUAGCUCAUGUAAGUACAACAUUCAACUCACAAGCAUGUGUAAGAGUGAUACGAUCAGCUACAUGAUCAUAUUGCCUUAUCAAAAAAAUUCUCAUGCGUUUUAAAGAUUUGUAUUAUAACUUUGGUGGAAUUGAUGGAUAUGUACUAACAUAUGCACAGUACAAAGCCAUGAUAAGAUUUUGGACAUUGUUCGUUGCAAUGUGCACCAUACACUCAUAAGUCACACUAUUUUUAAGAAUACAUGGUCAGCAGGUUCUAGAAUUGUUUUAUUAUAAUAUCGAGCAUAAGUACACUACUUUUCAGUCAAAUUGCACAAAUUAGUGAUUCGAGCAUAAACUUCAUUACUUUAUUAGUAGAUUUACAACUUCGUAAUAAACUAACCAUAGAUGGUGGUUUAGUGGUUGUGAACGAAUUUUAGGUUUGUAUUUUAUAUGGUACGUUAUGAGUUUGAUUAUUGGCGUUAGUGAAUAAUAUAAUGAUAGCCGGGAGAGUUUGAAAUGUCUAUGUAUGUCUUUCUAGCCUUCGAAAUAGUGGAUUAUCGUGGUGAAGCCACUAGCUGGUCUUUUUAAAAAAAAUUCAUGAUAAAGUGCUUGCAUAAUAUUUAAUCAAUUUUGUCUCUUGACAACUGAUAAUAUUAGUUCAAUAACAAUCGCAAAUGGGUAAUGCUAGGAAAACUAAAUUUGUAGACAAAAUUUACAAACUAAAUAAUGUUUUAUAAAUAAAAAUGAGCAGGUUUAUCAACACUUAAGUAAUAAUCCAACCAUCACUUUUCAUGUCAUUUAGUUUAUAAAAUUUUAUUUGCAAAUUUUGUCUUCCUACCAUUACCCACGCAAACACAAAUUUCCAUUCUUUAAAACGGAACUUUAUGUUUCUUAAAGUAAACCGAAAUUUCAAAAGAAUUAUUUAUAAAAUAAAAUAUAAAUAAAAAUAAAAAAAAUAAAAAAAACCCUAUAUAAUUGGAUGUGAUUUGUGAAGCUCCAUCAAAUAUGGGCCUUCCAAAAACGACAAGUCGUUAUUGGACCCCACUAUUGUAUUUUGGACCGUCCAAUGUGGCCUUCACAAACACUUUGCUUUUCUAUCCUAAGUGGAGAUUUAAUUAAUUUAACCCCAACACUAAACUUGAUUAAAACCCCUUAACCAUCAAUUCUGCAGACGCUAAUCUUCUGGUCAUCAUCAUUAGGGAGUAUUUUUGCUCACCAUCAUUUAAUAUGGUGUAUGCUCACUAUCCUAUUUAUCACCAUUAGAUAUGUUUAAAUUUCGAGAUUCGUACAGUAGAUAAGCACAAAUCUCAAAAUUCAAACUUAUAUAAUGAUGAUAAAUAAGAUGGUGAGUAUACAUCAUACUAAAUGAUGGUGAGCAAAAAUACCCCCAACACAAAACAAAAAACAUCCUUAACCAUUUAUUUACUUAUUUUUAACUGAAGAUAUUAUCUGCCGGUCAUUGUCCAUCCACGUGGCAUGGAGGAAGACCCUGAAAGCGGGACCCGCCUGCUAGUGUAGAGGGAAUACCGACGUGGAUGGUUUGUAGCUUCGCAUACGAUAGCGCGUUCUUAACAAUCACCCAACGAGAUUAUUUAUUUAUUAUUUGUAUACAUGCCUAUAUUAACUAAAUUGAGAAUAAGUUGCUCAUCUGAGUUAAAAUAUUUCUGUCGUAAUUUAGAUCAAACUUUUGCUUAAACAAAAAAUUUAGAUUAAAUUAAUUAAGGGGUAAAUUAUAAUUUGCACACUAGAAUUUAGUUGAAUUGGAACUUCACACAUCAUUCUUUUAUUUCUUUUUUAAUUUAUUGUUAUUAAGAGAAGGAUGAGGGUUUGAAACUAUUAUAAUAAUUUAAAAUUCAGAUGUGUGGAUGAAAAUCCAAUACCCUAUCCAGUAAGAUAUUAGCUGCAAUGUCAUAUAUAUAUUAAAUUAUUCAUUAAUUUGACCGUUAAUUGAUGAUAUCACAAUCCAACAUGUUUACUGCCAUAGUCAUCAAUCCUGCAACCAAUUUCAUUUUCUCCUUCCCUCCCAUUGCUUCGGUAUCUCUAUUUUCCUUCCUUCAUGUGUCAAUGAUCAAGCUGUAAUUUACCCUUUAAAAAAUUGGUAAUCCAUUUCAAGUUGAACACUGCUAUUUAUUUAUUUUAAAUAUUAGCAAUUUGAAUUAUUACUUUCAUAUUUUGUUCAGGCUAUUGUUCAUUAUCUACUUACUAAGGUUACAAUUCACUACUACUUAAAAUCUAAAAAAAUCAAUUGAUGACUUCGUCACGACAAUCAACUCUUUUGAUAACCGAAAAAACUUACAGAGGCAUUUCAACUUUCUUCUAACCACCAUUGUGUGAUUCACCAAUACUAGAAAACAAAAAUAAAAACGUGAUGCAUAGAAUAUGAACCUAAAAUUCGUCCACAACCACUUAGCAAUCAUAUCACACUAAAACAAUUGUUUUUGGUCGAAUUUCUAUCAGGCACAAAAAUAACUGGAAUUGUUUACUACUUCAUAUCGAUAAGUUAAAAAAUUGCAGCGGCCUCAUGCCUCAUAGGUGUAUUUGGUAAUUAGCUCUUAUGAUUUUACAUGAACAUAAGAAAUUGGUUUCCAAUUUAACUCGGAGAAAGUAAGGAUCAACACCUCCACACGUGUUGGCGGGAGCGUGUAUAAUGGAAGAAUUACCCCAUUGAAAUUUUCCUAUUUUUUAAUGUUUCCUGAACCUGUUGCCAUUUUUUAACAAGAACGGAUUCUAUCAAGAGCUAAGCAGCCAGAGCCUCCUCAUCAAACAAUUUGGACCGUAUAAAUUGAAUCUAACGGUUUCUAUUAAUUCAUUUUACUGGCUCACCACACACAACCGACGGCCCUGAUUUGACUUGCACAUCUAUCAGUGGCCCAUAUUGCUUGAUGAGGAGGCUCCGGCUGCUUAGCUCCAAAGAGGAUCCGAUCUCUUUUUUAACAUCACCGUCAUACAUUUUCGAGUAGAAUUCUCUCUUUUUUCAAUUUUUGUCUUUUUCCCAUCUUUCUCUUACCAUUUUUUUUCUUCCUCUACAACGGUAAUAAUUAAAUAUUUAUGUAACUUAAUCGUGAUCAUUUAAACAAAAAUAAAUUUAAAAAACAAAACAAAAAGAGAAAAUUCUACCGCAUUUGAGAGGUUAUCAUAAAGAAAUUGCGUACAAAAUGACGCCCAAAUUCAAAUGAAAUGAAUUAUUUGUUUGUGUGUGAUUUUCUGGGGAAUGCUAUAUAUCUACUAUAUAUAUACAUGUCAACCCCUCCAGUUCCCAGCUUAUGCGUAAGCCUAUAAUAUAUUGAGGGCCGAUAGAAUUGUGAAUUGGUUUCGUGGGGUCUCUCCUUUCCUCAAUUGGGUCGCCGGAAAUUCUCGAUUCCGGGACCUGAAUCCGAUUGAUUAUGACAUAUGGCGAAGGGCCGGAAACUGACGCAGAGCCGCAGCGAACGGUUGCUCGGGACCUACAGCGGCUACAGCCACGCCCAUGACUCGCCGGAGCUCGGCGAGGACGAUGUCUGGUCGAUGGUCAACAGCGUCGACGAGAGGGAGGACCACGAAACCGAGAACUCGCAGGGCGAAUGGAGCCCACACGCCUUCCCGGAGAGCACCGUUGGUAUUCAGGCGAGGAAGGGCCGCCAUAUUGCCAGAGACGACCGCAACGUGGGCGGGCUGUCAUUGGCCUUUGACGAUUCUGGCAAGACGGCGUCGUCGCCUCGGAUCGUGCACCAGUUCCGCGGACACGACAGCGUGGCGUCCCCACGUGGGCACCACAUGGCCACGUCAGCUCCGGUGAACGUGCCUGACUGGAGCAAAAUUCUCCGGGUCGACUCGGUGGACUCGCUGUAUGAAAUGGGCGACGGGUUAGAUGGCAAUGACUCGGAGAUGAUUCCCCCACACGAGUACCUGGCGCGUGAGCACACGCGCGGCGCGACGUCGGUUUUCGAAGGCGUAGGGCGAACCUUGAAGGGCCGGGACAUGAGGCGGGUCAGGGAUGCAGUGUGGAGCCGGACCGGGUUUGAUGGAUAAUUUGCGAUGGAUAGUGCUAUCCACAUAACGAUUUUUACUUCUCACACACUUCUCUCAAUUUUGGUUGUCAAAUCGAAUGAAUUGAAGAAAAUCGGUCAAUAAUCACCAAACAUGUGUGAAAAGUAAAAAUUAGUGUAUAAAUAGUACUACUUUUGUGAUAGAAACUUAAGGAGGUUUAAUUAUUAUGAAAAAUUAUUGAUUUCAGAUCUAGAGGAGUAUAAUUAUUGUUGUGAAUUGGUAAGUUUCGUUGGGCAAUGAUUCAGCUGAGUCUGAUCUAGUCGGACUUAGCUGUGAGUGAGCCCAAUUUGCCCAAAACAUUGAAUUUUUAAUGUCGGAAUUUAGACCCUUCUUGCUCUUUUUUCUAAGUAAAACAAAAUUGGUACUCUCAUUUUGCACUUCGAAGUAUUUUGUUUUCGAUAACGCUGUUUGAACACAUAAAUUAACAUACAUGUUAACAUACACUGUCCAAUAGAAAUGAAUCUCAUCGUCGUAUAUCGAGUCCACAUUUUAAAAUGCCAAUAAAUAUAUCAAUUUUGUGCAACUAAAUAACAUUACUCUAGUCUUAUGAACCUAAGUUCUCAAAAAUAGGAUAAUUACAAAAGAAGUCCUGAUUAUUUUUGUAAAUUCCUUAUUUCUUUUUCUAUCAAAACAUGUUUUCAUGAAGAAAAAAAAAUCCGACCUAAACAUGUUUAUUUUAUUCCUUGAAUUUUUUAACAUCAAUUGAGUUAAGAAGAAAUAAUAUCAUUGAGACCUUGUAAUCAUUUGACUAAAAGUUGCUCGAUCAACGUUCAACUGUUUAAGAUGCGGCCAAUUACAUAUUUGUGUAUAGAGAAUCAAAGUUUGCACCAUCUACACUUGCUAACUCACACCUAUAAACCUUUCUUAAACUCUUAACAAAAACCUAAUCUUAAGACUUAAACUAUACUUUAGUAAUUGAUAAGUGUCUCCAACACUUGUACACCUAAACUAUACUUUGUUAAUUUCAACAUCUUAUUUACCCUUUUAAAUGAAAAUUGAUUAAAAUUAGGUAUUGCUAAUCAACAUGAUUAAUUAACUUUAGAUCAAUGAAUCACAUGAUACAUUUCGACUCCUAAUAAUAACAAAUCACAUUAUAAUGAACAGAGAAAAGCUCGAUGAAUUUUCUUGGCUUUCCAAAUAGUGACACCAGCUAAUAUCUUUUUUGAAAGAAAAGAUCAAUGAUGUGUGGUUUGAUUUCAGCCACAGAUAUAUAUACACAUAUAUGUGUGUGUACACACACACACAUAUAGUUGAGCAUAAGUGUGGGCCCCACUGAUAUCCAAAGCUUAGUGUUGAAUCCAAAAAUUCGGAAGUCGAGUCACUUAUUAGGUAGUGUCGAGAUUUUAAUGGCGGGAAGACAAAGUAAAAGCAAUGGCUCUCAUUCCUUGCGAGUUGUGACUCCGUAGUUGCGUCCCUUUCUUGAAAAAGUUAUGACCCAUAUGCCUUCAUUUUAUUUUUGGAUCUAGAUUUGAUGGCUAAUAAUAUUAAUCCAAUAUCUUUACCUCCAACAAUAUUGUUACAUAUGUCGUUAUGGCCACAUGAAGUUAUAAGAAUAUUUCAUCUUUACUAGUCAGAAUUUGAGUACUUUCUGUAUCUCACAUUAGUAUAUUUCUCGUUACGUGAGAAUUCAUAAUUGAAGCCAUUGACUAAUUCAUUAGUAUUAGACUCUGAGUACAUUUCUUUUAAAGACAAAUCUAUAAUAAGGUACAAAUCAAUGGAUAGUUUGCUGAAAUACUCUUAUUAACUUAAUGUUUCUUCGUCCCAAAGUUAUAUUUGAAUGGUGUUGGAUGAAUUGUUAAUCCACAAAUUUGGUAACUAAAUUUGACAAAAAAAAAUUAAAAUUAAAAUUAGUAUCUAAGUUACUCUAAUUGAUUUUAAUUUAUUAUAUAAGGUAUCUAGCCAUAAAUUGGUGGUAAAUUGGUUUAUCCCUCCUUGCAAUUUUGAUAUCACAUGAGACGACAUCAUACUUUUGAUUUUCAUGUUAAAAGGUAAGUCGAAUCAGUUUCAAUAUCCCCCAAGAAAUGCAUAUGUAAGUUUUCAAACUUGAAUGGAGAAUUCUAAACUUUUGCUCGUUUUUCACUAGACCACUGUGGAUGCAAAUUUCUUUCUCCUUGAUCUUGGACAAAAUUUCACCUACAAAACAAUUAACACAUUUGGUUAAGGUCAAAAGCCUUACGCACCCACGAUGAAUGGGGGGGGGAAGUUUUGGCCGAAGAACCUCUGAUACCAAAGUUAGAAUUUAGAGAGAAAAUAUUUGAGAAUUUUAGAGAAUUUUAGCAAGAGACUUGGAAGUAGUUUUUGGAGAGAAUAGAGAGCUAUUUAUAUGGAUAUGGCCGGCCCUAUUAGGAGACACAUUUGGUCAAGGCCAAAAGCCUCACGCACCCACGAUGAAUGGGGGGGGGGAAGUUUUGGCCGAAGAACCUCCGAUACCAAAGUUAGAAUUUAGAGAGAAAAUAUUUGAGAAUUUUAGAGAAUUUUAGCAAGAGACUUGGAAGUAGUUUUUGGAGAGAAUAGAGAGCUAUUUAUAUGGAUAUGGACAGCCCUAUUAGGAGAAUAGGGACCGGCUAUUUGGGGUAUUUUUUGGGUGUAAUUUGUAAUUAAUUAGCCAUUAAUAUAUUAAUUAGAUAAUAAAUCCAUUAAUUGACUAAUUAACAUAAUUUAAAAGAAAUAACUUGGGAGUUAUGGAAUAAUUAUCUAAUCAAUUAGCUAAUUAAUAAAAUAAUUACCUAAUUGAUUAGCUAAAAAAAGGAAAAUGGGGUAGAGAAUAUACGGGAUGAAAUAAGUUUUGGGAGUUACCUUGUAUAAGGGAUUUGAUGAAUGAAAUAGGUUUUGAAUUGUUACCUAUUUUGGACAAUUUUGACUUGGUUGAGGAAUGAUUGCCCUCUGCUUGCGUGUAGGAAUCUCGAUAUGCCUCAGGGGUAUUUUUAUCCUCUUUUAUCCAAAAAUCCAUGUAUCGCUUUGUAAUUAUUUUUGGCUUCACAACCACCAUUUUUUUUAAAUGAAUCUGUUGGUGGCUUCGUCGCUGUAGUUUACCCUUUCAAAAACCUGAAAGACUCACAUAGAUAUUUCAACCUCCCCAAUCUAUGAUUGUGCCAUUCACAAGACAACCAUCUUGGAGUUUCCAAUUUACUUUGAUAUUGUUGAACCUCCUAUAGCAUAGGCAGACAUUAAAAUUAACUUUUGUUGAUCUUGGACCUUGUCAACCAGGUUCACUAGGGCCGUAUGUACCCAUGUCCACAAUCUAUCGCCCUCCACUAAAAAGCAUUUGGUUUUGCUCGUUGCUUGGAAUGGACCUCACCUCAUUUUUUGUCCAUAUUUUUAUAAUUUUGGACUGAUUUUAAUAUCCAUUUCCCGCAGUUAUAUUCCAUGUCCAUGUGCUUUGGUUUGUCAGGACUUUCUCUAUCGGCGGUUUGUGCUUCCUUACAUUCAGAUUUGGCUUUUUUAGGUUUUAAUUUUCAAAUCAACGUGCAUCUUGGUUUAUAGAUUUGUCACCUUUCAUGAUGUAUGUUUUUUCUUUUUUCCUAACCUAUUGUUGUUGGUGUUUUGCAACUUGUUUUGCAGGUUUAAACCUUUUAAAUUUUCUUUGGAGGAGUUUAGGCUUUACGCCCCUCCCCUCUUUCUUGUAUUUUUAUUUGUUUUCUAGAUCAAAGUACUGCUUAUUCUUUCGCCUUGUAUUAUAAGAGGUAAGAUUUAUGUCCUUACUAAUUAGGUGUAAGAUUUUGUCCCCUCAUAACUAGUGCAAUUUCUUUUUUCUAAUUCAAUAAAAUGUUCUUCGUACUUUUCUUAAAAGAAAAUGAUUUGUUAUUUUUCUUUAAAAAAAAACAGAAAAUACCAACAGUAACCCCUUAACAUUAAAAAUCUAAUUUGAGGUGCAAAAUAAAGCCCAAUGCUCAGUGGUCUUACUAAUUUGAGACAAGAGCCCUAAUGGGUUAUCUUGUAAGGCCUAUAGUGAGAAAAUCUUGGGGAAAAGCCCAAAUCAGUCAUUUAGACCGUCACCAUGUUUCUUUUCCGUAACUAUGCCACAAUUUUACCGUCUCAACUUUUGGACUACUUUUGAAUAAUGAUACGAUAUUUUAAAGUACCGAGAUUUAUAAAUAAAAUUUUAACUUGGUGUAAGAGAGGGAAUAAACACAUUGUUCUAGCUAAUUGAUUUAAUCCAUAUAUGCUUCUCUAGCAGACUUUUACGAGUAGCAAAAAUAUUUGCGAAGUCAUUGAUUUGGUUGUUUACAGAGAUCAUUUUCUAGCCCCAACCUCUCUCAAAAACAUACUCCAAAUGCCAUUUGGUUAAUCGAACUUUAAAUGCGACAAAUUCAUAUUAAAUAACCUUACAAGUCUGAUCACGUGACGCUCAUAUUAAAGAUUCAAGAAUUGAGGUCUAAGAAACUGUCACAAACCCCAUGCUAAUCAAAAUCCAAUUAGCAGUUCAUCCAUUAGUAUACAAUUUUUAUGUUUCCCAUUGAAUUUUAGUUCCAAAUUAUAUUAUCCAUCACACGUAUUUGUGAUUUUAGGUCAACUCUUAUCCAACACAUAAAACCACCUGGAAUCCACACACCUGUAUGGCUUGAGCAGGUAAAUUCCACAUGAUUCUGUCCACUUUCAAUUGACUUUUUUUGGCAUUUGGUUUUUUGUCCUGGAAUCAUGGAUGUAUUAAAAAAAAAAAAAAACUAAUGAAAAAAGUUUGAAAAUUUUGAGUUAUAACGAUAAUGAUAAAAUAAAAGGUGAUUGAUUUUUUGGUGUAAAAAUAUAAUUUUUCCUUAAAGUGAACAAUAUCAUGAGCUUUUCUUUCAAGUUCCCUUAAAAAAAAAAAAAAAAAACUUUAACGAAAAGUUUUCGUUAUUGUUCACUUUAACGAAAAGCCACAUUUUUACACUAAAAAAUCAAUUCUAUACUAUUCACUUUACCCUUUAUUUUGUCCUUAUCGUUAAAACUCAAAGUUUUCAAGCAUUUUUCAUUAGUUUUCCUUAAAAAAAAAAAAGUAGUUCUAUUCACAAAUCCAUUUUUAUUUGUCACAUUUAUUUUAAUUUUUAGUCAUUGAAUCGAAUGAAUUGAAGAAGAUCAAUGACUAAAAAUAGCAUAGGUGUGUUAAUAACAUUAUCCACAGUAUAUUGUUAAUAAAGUGAUGAGAAAUUCACUAUAUUACAAUUAAGUUCGAAUCUCGUAAACGACGAGUUCAAUACCAAUUUAUUUCUAUCACAAUUUAUUUCUAUCACAUCUUAAUGUAAUGUAUCGUUCUAUUAAUAAAAAUAAACAAGUGAUGAAAAAAAACAUUAAACAUAGCGGAACAUAAACAAAUAGAGGCAAUAAAAUACACAAGAGACGGUGAGGGGAAGAAUAAUUUAAUUUUUUUAUCGACAUCGUUGCUUACUGCUUCCUUAAGAGUUUCGUAACUCAAAUAGUUAAGGAUAAGAUUCAUGAAUUCGAGACCUUAUGUUUGUAUAAAAAAAUAUUUAUCUGUAUAUCUGAAGUUUCUUUAGUUUCUAUUCUCCUCCCUCGUUAUCACUUGCACCAGAAGACAAUUGUUUUCAUAACUUGACAUCUAAUAAACCAAAAGUUAAUAGUGACAGCACUCUAACUUAUCAAUUGUAAUAUUCUUUAAUUAUAGAAAAAAUCUGGCAUGCAAUUGGGAUAUUUAGAACGAUAUUUUAUAAUUAAGAAUUUGUCAUGUUAAUGGGUUCAAAUUAUAAUUAUGAUUAUUUUCCAAAAAAUCAAUGAUACGAUUACGAGCCUAUCACACCAAAGAAAAUACCAAGUGGGCCUAAAGCACUAAUUUGCAUGAUAAUUGGAUAUAUAGUUUAAGACAUUAGCCAUUUAAGAUAUAGUAAUUUACAAUAUGGGGCCUAAGAUUUAAUAAUUAUAUUUACUCUCACUCAUAAAAAUUUGAAAAUGACACAUAUUUACAUAGAAUUUAAACUUGGGAAUUGGAGGUCCCAAGUUCCAAUUUUUUUUUUUUUCAUGCGGAAAUUCUAAAUUUCUAUGUUCAUGAAUCUAAACAAGAGAUUUGGUGCAUGUCAAUUUAUAAAUUCUAACUGUUGUCAAAAUUUCAAGUUUAUUUUUUUCAUCCAAACAUAAUUAAAAAUUUCCAGGAAAAAUUCUAAUUUUUUGUUGAACUAGCAAGUGAAUAGUGUUAAUCGAGACCGUCCUUUUCAAUGCAAAAUUUAUAUCUUCCUUUUCUCCUUGCUCGAAGAUCCACCCUUGAAUUUUAUUUUUUAAUUCUAUAUUUAACAAGUAAAUAGUUACACUUUAAAUUUAGAGAGCGAUGGUUUAUAUGAAGAUUUUUUUUACAACAUUUGACACACCCCGACCGAGAUCAAGGCAUGCUGACCGUCACGUGAGAGUGACGUAACCAUGUGCACAAUACGGAAGCAAUAAUGAUAGGAAAUAUACGAAUAAUUAAAAACCAAAUUACUAAAGUGCAUUACUAAACAAGAAGUGAUAAGAGUUAGUUACAAAAGUAAGCACUCCUAAUCAGAGCAUAAUAAGUCUAUGUGUAGUCCAGUAUGACAAGUACUAGUUAUACAGUACCAUGAAUGUCCUACUAUUAUUUAGAUAGGUCAAAACUGCUGACGUCCUCAAGCCACCCACAUCAAGCUUACUUAAAACCAGGAGAGGCGCAAAACAGAAAACGUGAGUGGGCAAAAACAAAUGUUUUACAAAGUCAUUUCAUUUAUCAACAUAUCUAACUCCUCGCUGUAAAACAUGUAUAAUUUUUCCCAGAAUCAAGAUAUAAGCAUAUACAUAAAUAUAUAUAUAUAUAUAUAUAUAUAUAUAUAUAUAUAUAUAUAUAUAUAUAUAGAGCUUAAGGGGAGGGAUCCCCAUUUUUUGAAAAAAAUGGGGAUUAGGUGUGGGGCCCACUUCACAUCUAAUUUCAACGAUCCGAACCGUCUAUUUUGUUAGUCUCGAUUCAUAGAUCAUCCUUGCAAAAUAUUAGCUAAAUUGGAAAUGUUUAAGACAUCUAAUUGGGUUCAAGGAAAUGAACGAAUACUUUGUUAUAUAAGAAAAUAUGAAAUUUGAUAUUGAUAAUUAAAUAGGCAAAUGGUUUCGGAUUGAAUUGAAUUUUUGCAAUGAUGAUCUAUGAAUCGAGACUAACAAAAUAAACGGUUCGGAUCGUUGAAAUUAGAUGUGAAGCGGGCCCCACACCUAAUCCCCAUUUUUUUCAAAAAAUGGGGAUCCCUCCCCUUAAGCUCUCUGUAUAUAUAUAUAAUCAUAUCACUUCAAAUCAUGCUUCACUUAAUCAUAAUCAUAUGUAUGUAUAUAUAUAUAUAUAUAUAUAUAUAUAUAUAUAUAUAUAAUCAUAUCACUUCAAAUCAUGCUUCACUUAAUCAUAAUCAUAUGUAUGUCAUGCCAAGAUAUAACAGAGUAAGCAAUUCAGGUAAGAAUAAUUUCAUAGAAAUAUCACAUGUUAGCCGGAACCCCUGUAGUAGUCUGUACGGCUGAAUUCAUAACUCAAAAGUUACUCUAGCCGGAGUCACUACAAUGACCUAUACGGUAAUAUACUGCACAAGAGUCGGAACCAAACAAAAAGGUUUAUACGACAAUAAUGGGUGUAAUAUAAUCAUGCUCAAUACUAUUCUCACAUAAUAGCUGGGCGAUAAAUCGCUAGUCACUUACGAGUCGGAACCAUAAUAAAGGUCUGUAUGACAAGACUGUGCACCUAAAUUGGAUCUAAUAUGAGCAUAUGGUGCAGGAGGUGACAUAAUAAAUAGGCAUGUGCCAUAUUUAUGACUAAAUCACAAUCACCCUAAGUCCAGUUUUAUGAGCUCAACAUUAUUCAAUCACAUAUCGCAUCAUUGAUGAUUCACAUAACUAACACAAGUUACCUGAGCUUACCUGAGUGUUCACAUCACCACAAUUAUAUAUAUAAAGCAUCACAUACCAAUUCAUGUAUGAAUUAUAAACUUAUAUGCAUGGCAUUUAUGGCAUACUAUCAUUUAAACACCUAUUUCUGGGAAAAUAUCAAGUAUAUAAUAUAUACUGAAAACUAAAAGCCCACUCAUUGGUAAGUCAAAGGGUCGUAGCCCCUGAGUCGCCCUUGGAUACGCUCGUCCUCGGGAUAAGUCUCAACUAUAUGCGAAUUAACUAUAAAAACGUUAUUUUAAAGCACAUAGACAAAACUAGCUAAUAACUUCUCAUAUAUACCUCAAAUUGGGUAUAUGAAUAUACCACAGUGACCUACACAACCUCAGGAUCAUCCCUAAAUUUUUAGAUUAAUUUUUCAAUGCCCCACGCGCCGGCGAGUGCACGGCAAAACGCGCCGGCCACGCGCGGUCACAUGUAACCGAACAGCAACGGCGUUAGGAAUAUUCCGUUAAAACCCAACGGUAACCAUCCAAACUAACUGAUGGCGUUAGCAUAUUCCAUCAAAAUUGACGGAAUAUUCUUUUUUUUUUCUUCGAUGAGUCGCCGGUCGCCGGCGACUUCGUCGAUUUUUGGGUAAAACUUCUAACCGUCUAUUCUCACUCAUUUUUCAACCAUUUUCUUCGAAAUUUAAACCAAAUGAAAGCUUAGAGUGAGAAAAAUGGCGUUAUACCUAUUUGAAGCAUCAAAUAUCACGAAAUCAUGUUGGGGAAGCUUCGAAAUUCCGACCAAACCUGCAACUCGUCGUUUCUUGCAAUCCCAAUGUCCAAAUUCUUCAAACGAACUACCCCGAGCCUCCUUGGGACCUCCUAAAGCUUCCUACAAGCUUAAAAUCCCCUAAUAAUUGAAGAAUAAAAGUUGCAUGAACAAUGCAUGGAAAUCAGACAUUGUGGUUCUACGUGAAAUCGAAGGUAAUCUUACCUAUAUUUGGUACCUUUGAACUCGCGAGGACCUUAAGAACACAAUGGUACCAUUUUGUUUGAGAGGUCCUUGAUGUUUGUCCGUACAAGAAGAAAGAGAGAGAGUGUGUGUGUGAAAGGGCACGGGAGAGAACAGAGAGAAAAAGGUAUGUGUGUGUGGUCCUUACAAAGUCAACCAAACCACUUAUACACUAACCUUUAAUCCAAGUUCCAAAUUUCCAAAUUUAAACUAAGGUUAGUUCUUACUAUAACCCUAGCAUUCAAAUUGGAACCAAAACACACAACACCGCGAAACGUUCAAGGGUAAAAUUGUCAUAUCAUAUCAUCGAAAAUUAAAUAUUCGGGACGGGUUGUGACAAUAUUUCAUAGAAAUCAUUUUUCUAAGAAUAAAUUAUAGUAUAGUUGUUAAACUAGCUAGUUCUCACGAACAAAAAACAGUCACAUGCUGGUCCCUUUAGUUUUGCCCUUAUUGAUUGUCGCAUUUGAAGACAUGUUUUUCACACGUUUCUAGCGUCAACAUUUUCAACGAAUUCAUUUAUUGAUCAGCAGAACUUUAUUUGUGUUUAUAUUUGGAUUUUGGAGCAAUUUCGGAUAUCCCGACAAAUCCACCACAUCUUCAAAUUUCCGGAAAGAAAAGCAACCAAAUUUAAUUUUACUUGGUAUGGACUGCUGAAUUUCAGCUCCCCGUCAACACGCAAAUUUCAAACCUUUUCCAUGUAGACGAUGGCUAUGGUUGCACCUUCGUCAAUUACUAUCUAAUCUUGAUCUGGGUUUUCGCUUAAAUUCCUCAAAGAUCUGAUUUUUGGGUUUUCUUCGAUUCAGCGUUUCGUCGUUACCCUUUUGUUUUUCGAUUGAAAUCCGCCACAAAUAUCCCAGAAUCCUGAUCGGAAAAUGGGUUGCUGUAGCAGCAAAAAGAAUGCUCCGAAACCCGGUUCAAAUGGGUUUGGGUCAUCCCAGCCUUAUCAGCAGCAGCAAGCGGCGGCUCAGCCUCUGAAAGUCUCAUCCCAACAACCCCACUACCCACCACCACCACCACCCAGACCACAGCCCCAGCAGAGGGCACAGGCUGCACAGCCGCCGCCCCAACCAAGAGCACAGCCCCAGCAGCCAAACCCUUCUCCAGUAAAACCAGCGCCGCCGCCGAAUAGCAUUCUCGGGAAGCCCUUUGACGACAUUAAGCAGUACUACACACUCGGAAAAGAACUGGGCAGAGGCCAAUUCGGCAUCACAUACUUGUGCACUGAGAACUCCACCGGCCACAGUUACGCCUGCAAGUCGAUCCUGAAGCGAAAACUCGUGAGCAAAAACGACAGGGAAGACAUCAAGAGAGAGAUUCAGAUUAUGCAGCAUUUGUCUGGGCAGCCAAACAUUGUGGAGAUCAAGGGAGCUUAUGAGGACAAGUACUCUGUGCAUUUGGUCAUGGAGCUCUGCGCCGGUGGGGAGCUUUUCGAUCGGAUCAUAGCGCAGGGACAGUAUUCGGAGAGGGCUGCCGCUGCAAUUCUGCGUGACAUUGUGAAUGUUGUGCACAUUUGUCACUUCAUGGGCGUGCUGCACCGCGAUCUCAAGCCAGAGAAUUUCUUGCUGUCUAGCAAGGAUGCGAAGGCAAUGCUGAAGGCAACGGAUUUCGGGUUGUCUGUUUUCAUUGAGGAAGGUGAGUGCAUUGAUUUUUAUGAUCUAUGUUCAUAUUUCCUGUUACAAGUUGUAGAAUUUUGAGCUUGAGCGUUCUGAGUUUGAUUUUGUAAUUCCCUAUUUUUUGAUAUAUGCCAAAUGUGUUCUAAAAAUACCAGUAAUAGUUUACUACAAAUUGUUAUUCAUCUAGUUUAGUUGCAGAUGUUAUAAUGGCAAGAAGUUACAUUGCGAACGGAAGGUUGUGUAGUUUACUGGGAACCGAUAAUAUGAUUGUUUAUACAUUGUAGUGAAGGUUUAAGUAGUAAGAGUGGUCAGCCUGCGCCAUUUCCUACCUUAUGCGGUGUAGCUAAUCGAAUUAUGAUGUUUAUAAACUACUUUAUUCCUUUGUAAAGCUUUCCGAAAAAAUUCAUUUUUUCAUUUUAUUGCUUCAGUUAAGUAUAUAUAAUCUGAAGUUUUAAUCUAGUGGAUACAUUCUAAUGUGUAGCUAUACCUGCUUUGUCCUAAUCUCAGGAAAGGUGUACCGUGAUAUAGUCGGCAGUGCUUACUAUGUUGCUCCUGAAGUCUUGCGGCGUAGUUAUGGAAAGGAAAUAGAUAUUUGGAGUGCAGGGGUUAUUCUGUAUAUCCUACUCAGUGGUGUACCUCCAUUUUGGGCUGGUAAAUAUGAAUUCAGUGUAUUCUUGCUAAACAUUCACUGUUCUCUUAGGUUGUAGUUAUCUUAUCAUUAUAUCUCGCUCUUUAUAUUGCAGAAACUGAGAGGGGCAUAUUCAAUGCCAUAUUGGAAGGAGUAAUAGACUUUGAUAGUCAACCAUGGCCAUCAAUAUCAGACAGUGCUAAAGAUUUGGUUAGAAAGAUGCUGACACAGGACCCAAGAAAGAGAAUUACUUCUGCAGAAGUUCUUGGUAUGUUACCUCUCAAAUACUAUUUUGGAUGGAUUGAAAGUUACAAUGAAGCAACACAUGCUGUAUAAGAUAUAAUUUCCGUCGAUAAUUUCUGUUUGUAUGAUUUAUAGACCAUUCUCCUCAAAUGUGUUAUAAUCUCUUUUGAAACGACAUCUUUUUCAUUUGCCUAUGAAAUGACAUGAUAGAAAUUAGGCCUUGUGCUGGCGGUCAAGGGAUAAUCCUAUGUUUAGUUUUUUAGUAAUCUGUUGCUUCCAAAUCAACGAGCCAAAUUUAGCAGUUAAAUAGAAGCUGAAAGGAUAAAUAUACAGCAUUACAAUAACCAACUUUUAGCCACACGGCCCUUGUUACCACCAGCUCUUGUUUUAUGAGUGUGCUUUUGACUGAUAUUUAAUAUUCUGUAUGCUCAGAGCACCCGUGGCUCAGAGUAGGCGGAGUAGCAUCAGACAAGCCAAUAGAUAGUGCAGUUCUCUCUAGAAUGAAGCAAUUCAGGGCAAUGAAUAAGCUCAAGCAACUUGCUUUGAAGGUAAUUUCAGGACUUUGUUCCGAAGCUCCUAUAUUUACCUAAUAUUGGCAAAGUUUCCAGAGAAUUUCUUCUUACCAUAUUUGUCUUUUUCCCCUAAUAAUUUUUGUACAUUUUGAAAAUUUCCCCAGGUCAUAGCAGAGAAUCUAUCGGAAGAAGAAAUUAAAGGCCUUAAAACAAUGUUCACCAAUAUGGACACUGACAACAGUGGUACAAUAACUUACGAAGAACUGAAGACAGGUUUAGCGCGUAUUGGGUCGCGGCUGUCUGAAACCGAAGUUAGGCAACUCAUGGACGCUGUAAGUAACUAUCAAUUCCCCCGGAACUCAAUUAUGUUGCUUCUGGCUAUUUUUUGAUUUCCGUGUAACACAUUUCAGGCUGAUGUGGAUGGAAAUGGAUCGAUUGAUUACAUAGAAUUUAUAUCUGCGACUAUGCAUAGACAAAGAUUAGAAAGAGAUGAGCAUCUCUACAAAGCGUUCCAGUAUUUUGACAAGGAUAGCAGUGGGUGAGUUGACAAAUUUUGUGCAAUGCUUCUGUAUACAUAUGUCGUACUGGAUUUCUGUUUUUGAUCAAGUGAAAUUCAACUACUUGAUCCUACUGGGGGGAAAUAAAUAACUUUGGAUAAAUUUCUUGUUAUGAUCGUGCUAGAUGUGUGCUCAAACAACUUUCUGCUUAUUGAUUCAUAAAUUUAGUCUCAACUUGUGAACUUUUGCAAGCUGAAAUUGAUUCACCCUGUUUGUCAGGCAUAAGUAGUUACGAAUAUAUAUAUUAGCUUGUAAUAUCAUAAUUUACUAGGAAAGAAACUGUUUAUUUCUUUUUAUCAUUCAGUCAUAAAACGAAUGUUAAUGUAGUUCCUUCGUCAAUUUCCACUAACAGGUAUAUUACAAGAGACGAAUUAGAGGCUGCUAUGAAGGAGUAUGGAAUGGGUGAUGAUAACACCAUCAGAGAAAUAAUUUCUGAGGUUGAUGCUGAUAAUGUAAGUUUACUUACGACUUUCAAAUAUCUGUAACUUUUUCUCAGUCGUGUUCUGCACUGAUUUACUUUGAACCAAAUAGGACGGGAAGAUCAACUAUUCAGAAUUCUGUGCAAUGAUGAGAAGUGGGACUCAACAACCAGCAAAGCUCUUUUAAUUCCACUAACAGGCAUUUCAGAACUUACAAGCACAAGUGAAUCGUUAUGGAUUUGAGCUGCUUAAGUGAGUUUAACUGUUGGGUAGUAUGACUCGUGUGCUCGUAUCAGAGCAUUAUUUCCGGGAGGUAUGAAGUAAACCAGACUAAUCUUGAUCGAAAACGGGCAGUUUGAGCAUGUGAAGCUAGAGUUUGGUGUUUGAUUAAUUAGGCUGUGUUUCUGUGCAUCUAUUUACUUGUUAGCUUAUUUUUUUGAAGUUCUGUUCAAUCUUGUUAUGAACCUUUUCCUGAAUAUACGACGAUUUUAAUUAAUUUAAAAAGAUUUCGUUGUGAUAUAAAUGCUGAACAAAAGUACUGCCGAUGAUAGGAGUUUUGCUCUGUAUGCUAUAUUGAUAUCAAUAUUGCAUCCAACUCAACUCAACCUCUCUUUUCAUGCUAUGUUCUUUCACUGUGAUUUCUUCCACGAGGAGUUGUGUUACGGCCAGUCACCCACACGCCUUGAAUUGACCACACACUAGAAUGGUAAAAUCUCUCUAGCUUCAGUUAAGUGCUCAAUCAGUUUGGCGACGGAGAUCGAAUAUGAUUGAAGUUGAUUCCAUGCAAUUUUAUUAAAGUCUCAUUCUUUGAGACGAGACUUAAAACCCAACAUGUUAGACCAAUGUCCAAUUUAACAAGUUUAGUCCCAACAUUUAUAAGUUCACGGUAUGAUGGCUAUGAUAGUACCAAAUAUCUCAAUUCUUAAACUUCAAUUAAUCCUUUUAUUUUUGUGCACACUUUACCAGAAAAAAAAAACACAAAGUACAUAUACGAAGGAGAAGGAGUCCUUUGGAAGGACACCCACUUGACAGACACCCUUCAAUCCCAGGAAUCCCAGGAUUUUUUAUUAGAAUGUACUAUUUACUUGAAAAUUAAAAGGGCAGUAAUCAAGAGAGGUAAGUACUCAUUAUUGUAGGACUUUCCCUUCCCCACUCCAGCACUGCAGCACAGUUUCCAUACAAACCCUGAAGAAACAUUUCUUUAUUUAUAGCUACCAUUUUGGGCGCCCACAGGUUUCUAUCACAUACACCUCGUAUUUGUAGGGCAUAUCUCAUAAAAACAUAUAAUUCUUCCAAACUUAGGAUCUCUGAUACAGUGAUAAAUGCUAUUACUCAUUUGAAUUACUUACUCUUUUGCUCCUUCAGCACCAAGACGACAUUGUCAUGAGAUUAUCGGUAACACUAAAUUUUUUUAUACAAGUGAUAUUAUGAGAGCCAAACUAAAUGCAGGACUUCGAAUGCUGUGAUAAACUCUUUUAAAUUUUAAUCAACUGAGUUACAAACUCCUUGUUGCAUGAACACUAAAUUAGGAAAGAGCAAAUGAAGGUGCCCAAAUCGAAUGACAGGAUUUUUGUUUAAAAUUAGAAGGAUGGUAUCCAAGGUUUUUAGCCUUCAUAUUCCCUGACACAAAUCGCAUUUUCAAGGGGCUAAGCAUUCCCACGUGAGGUUGCAAGAUUCUAUGAUGCUGCCCACUUACGAUAUAUAUUAUGUGCACGUGUGCAGUACAACCCCAUCUUUUUUAUACAUCCACUUGGGACUCCCUAAGUCAAGACAUACCUCAAAUCAGCACUCCCUUGAUUGCUAAUUUUCAUUAACUACAAAAUUAUAGAAAUGAUUAACUUAAACACGAAGAUAAACCUGCCCCGGUUUGGAUUAGGAUUAAUUAGUACUCCACGCUAACAUGAAAUGACACAAGAACACAACACGAUACAACUCGAUUUCCAUCCUUAUGUGCGCUUGUAGAAUUUGUUCGGAUUUAGGUUAAGAGUGUAAUUAACAUAGUCUACAAACUAUGUAUUAUUUUUUAUAUGGUAAUAUAAUAUAGGAAAAGAGCAUAGGAUGCUCUCUAAUCUAGCAUUGCUGAAAAAUUAAUUAAUUAAUUCACAACUGUUUUAUAUGUUAGUACAAUUUUGUUUAUUAAUUAAUAUUAAUUCACAACUGUGAAUUGUCACCAAAUUGUGAGAUUCAAAGCUCCUUUUUUAUUUUAUAAAUAAAUAAACAAAAGGUGAGGCCUUGUUGGAUUCUUAUUAAUGAAAUUUUAUGGAUUGUAAUCAAACAAUUUUCAAAAAUGUAAACUUUCACAUAAGAAAAUAAACUGUUUUUUUUUUUUGUUUAAGAAAGGGGCUAAUGGUAUGAUAUAAGAGAAAUUACAAAAUAAUGUUGCGAGGUCGAUAGACUUCAAAAAUAUCAUACAAUAAUAACUGCUUACAAGAAGAUGAAGUUUGCUCAAAAUAGAUUGGACACAAAGCGUGAGAGAAGCUCAGUAACUCAUCAGCAACACAAUUUAUCUCAAGAUAAAUAUGCCGAAUAUUAUAUUCCCAAUCAUGCAAUAACAUCACACGAUAAUCAUUUUGGCAAAGAAAAAUGAUCUCCACACUGCUCUUUUCUUUUGUAUAUGUGCUUGUUUAUGUUAUUUGGGUUUUCUUUGAUUUAUUCGGUCUAAACCCUACAUAAAGAAGAAAAUGGAUGUGCGAGAAUCGCUUUAAUACUGAAGUCCAACGAGAGGGAGAGAGAGAGAGAUGUGCACGUGCAGUUGCAUGUCUGCCCCCUCGCCAGUCGCCGCUCUACUUUUCCAAUUUAGAAAACUGAAACAAAAACCAAGCACAAAAAUAGCCCUAAUCUUGCUUAAAUAUGUUAAACUUAAAUAUGUUAAACUUUAUCUCAAGAUUUUCUUCCGGCAGGACGCAUUUUCUCUGAGAAUUCUUUAGAUGGUAUUUUCCAUUUAAUAUGAUAUUCUUACUGGUGUUCAAAGAUUAUUACAUAUUUCAUCAUAUUGGUGUUCGUCCUAAUCAAUGAUGGAGCUUCACUCUUGUGCCCCUCUGGUCAAUUCUUCUGCACUGUGCGUUAUAGAGGAAGGGAUGAGAGGAGAGAGUGUCAAUGUCGUUGUUGCUGAGGUUUCGGCCGAACUCGAGAGGGAGCGAAAGAAGAAUGCAGAGCUCAUGGAGAGGAUACUAUUUCUUGAAGCUCAAUUAAAAGAACGAGAGGCUAAGCAGCCUCCUCAUCCAGCAGAUGGACAAGUAAGACCUUGACUUUUUUGGUAGCUUCUUUGCUUUUCAACGAAUAGCGUUGUAGCGAUGUUUGAGACCGCUCUGAAAACGGCUAAAAGCACUUUUUUUUACAACUAAAAGCACUUACGGUUUUGAAUGAUCAUGUUUAUGCCAACCUCUUAACAUUUGACUUCAGGGAAGUUCUUUGAAUGCAAUGAUAAGAAGCUUCAAGAAGUUCAAGCGACAGAAGACAGAACUAGAUAACAAUGGAAUCGAAGAUGGAAAUGUUAUCCCAACCGAAAUGGAUUCGAAGAAGAAGCAUCGCACGCAAUGCUUGGCUCUUAAAGAUCAAAUUCUGGAAGACCGUCUAGUCAACUGGAUGAGCAUGGAGGAAACUCAGUUUUUGCAUCUAGAAAAAGGAGAUGGCGGCGAUUCAGCUGACUGCGAUGACUCUGAUGAUAGCGAUGACGAAGAUGAUGAUUACCGUGAAGAGAAUUGUGUUAAUAAUGACUGUAAAGAAGGGGAAGUAGCUGAUAAUGUUUCGAGAAUUUGUAGUGAGCUGAAAUGUGAAGUUGUUGAUAAGGGAUUGGACGCGCAAUGUGAGAACGUUUUCACAGGUGGGAACGAGCCAGUGAUUUCAAAUGCAAACCAAGAAACGAAUGAACCACCUGAUACAGGACCAGUUUGUGAUGAGAUGCAACUUCGAACCCAAAACAAGAAAAAACCUAGUGAUUUUGGAAGUUACAAGGUGCCAUCUGAUACCCUUAAUUUCAAGGAGUUUAUUCGUGCAGGAUCUGCAAGCACAUCGCAACAGAAAAAACCUCCGAAGGUGGCAUUCUGCCCGAAAGAAGUGAAGAGAAUAAUUGAUUCAGAAGCCCUGCUGCAGAAAAAUGCUCAAUCCCACACAAUAAGAAAGAUCAUAGUUUUUGCAUCAAUUGGAAUAAGGCAUGGUUGCGAAGAUAUCUACGAAUUAGACAUCAAUCAUUUUAGCAUUUUAAGGAAGGGAGAGCCAUACAUGUCUACGAAAGAUCCCGGGGUAAGGAAGUUAGUAUUAGGAUAAGUUUUGCAUUUAAAUAAGUUUUCGAUCUUAAUCUUUCUUUGUUCAUCAGCAAAAAAGCAAUUUAAUUUUUGUUCCUUACCAGGAGCAUGUUCUGUAUGAGAAUCCUGGUGUUCGGAGGAAGGUAUUUUACCCGAAUCAACAGAAUCCGACAUUAUGUCCUGUUAAAAUACUCGAAGAAGAGAAGGCUAUGCGACCAUCGGAUUCUAGCUGCCCAUCAUGGCUAUUUCUCUGCAUAAAGUAUGGCGGAAGAACACGAAAUCUUCCCCAAAAUGAGUAAGUAUUAUUGGAGAAAUUAACUUUUAAUUUACCGAGGUUUGCAGCUUAAUUUAAAAUUCUAUCUGCAUAAAUGUGUUUCAGAUAUGUUAGGCAGCGUAUGGGAAGAAACAAGCUGAAGUCUUUCGGGCCACUAAUGUGUCGAAUGGCAAUGCUAGUUCAUGUUCGCAGUGGGAGCUUCUUCUUCAAGGCCUUGGGCAUCACUCUUCUUUUCAUGGCUGGUUUUCCUGAUGAUCUUGUUCAACAAGAAACUAAAUACCAGAGCUUAGACUUGCUUCAGAAAUAUUAUAGGUAUUUCAAUCUAAUAUACUAGUAGGAAAUGAAUAUUUCUGAAAAAAAGCUAUUCGGAUAGUUUUGUACCUCAAUGUAAUCUCUAAUAUAAUUGAAGCACGACAUGUUUUUCCUUGUAGGACGGAUGAGGAUGCUGAAGGGGAGGAGUUAUUUCUUCCACAUCCUAUGACUAGUGACACUGUAAGAUCAACUUCCCAGUUCAUAAAUCUGAGCACAUCCUAGUUUCGAUUUAACUUCCCAGUUCAUAUAUCUGAGCACUUCCUAGUUUCGAUUUAACAUUGACAAAUAAAUUCGAGUUUCUGAAGACUGAUCUUGUUUUCUCUCAGCAGGCCAGUCCAAGUUCUCAGCAGUUCGGUGGAAAAUCUUGUUCAACAAAAACAAAGGAGAAAAAACCACCUCACUCGAAUAGCAAGCCUCGCAAUAUACAGAUAUCUCCAUUCCCACGGACUACACUUCUGAGCUCUGCGCCUUCUACACAAUUUGGACUGGUAGGCCAUCAGACUUCUAUUCUUCACACUCAAGCAAUGGCAACAUUAUCGUCUCAUACGCCAUUAGAUGCUCAACCAAUCUCAAACGCUGUAAUUGCGAAUGCUGGUACGAAUAUCUCAUACUCUAGUCAAACACCGUAUCACAUUUUUCCCCCACAACCAGCUAACACCUUUGUGCCUAUGGUAUAUUGGCCUCCCCCAAACACAUUUUCUCCCGGACCCUAUCAAUCUACAUAUGGCUACCAGUCUUUCCCUUCUACCGGAAACUACUUCAUUCAUCCACAGCCCUAUUACAACAAUCCAUCUUGCAGUCCCUUGAACCCCAAAAUGGUGGAAGCAGCAGGAAAAAAUGGUGCAGCCUCGGAGGAAGCUGAUAGUGGCUACAAUUGCAGUUCAAGCAGUAUUGAACCAAAGAAGAAUUAGAAUAUCUGUCUUCCUUGUAAUUAUCAUAACUUCCUUAUUCUUAAUAAAGGCUUUGUUCAAUUCCGCUAUCUUGUACUCAAUGUAAGAAAAUGAGCCUCUUUUCGGUUUUCAUGGCAGAUCUUGUCAUCAUUUUAACUCCGAAAAUCCAGAACAGAACAACCAAGCACCAAGAUUUUAUGCAGGACAGGCUUACGAGGCAGCAAGUUCUAAAUGACGCCGCUGCCUCAUUAGCCUGCCCUGCAACCAUGAACCAAUACUCUGCGAUUACCCAAGUAUCAUCAAGAUUCUUACAAUCCUUCUACGAGGCAUGCCGAUCGAAGUCAGAUAUCUUUCUCUUUCACUUGGGAAAUCACACAUCUUUGAAAAAAAAAAUCCAAAUCUGCAUGAAUUAAUCAGUGCAUUUCCACCCAGUAACAAUAACAUUUUCAACUCAAAAGUUUCAUUUGCACAAUUACAUGUCAAUUCAUAACCACGAUGCCCUCGGACCCUAUCGCAACCUGGUAGCCUUAGUCAGCUGACUCACCGAAAUCAAAUUCCGCUUCAAACCCGGGACGUGCAUCACAUUGUGCAGCAUCCACGGAGCCCCACUCAGUAACUUGACAAGCACGUCACCUCUCCCAACAAUGUCCAAUGCCGCAAGGCCGGGUACACCUUUCCGUAGUUUCCGGCGGUGUACUUCUCCCUGAUUCCCUUGUGCGGCGAGCAGUGGAAGGCGACGCCGGGGGUGGUGAUCCCCGACUCCAGGGGGGAAUCGACGGUAAAAAACAAUGCUUCGUUGAUCACUUCGAUGGUGUUGGCGGCCCAACGGUGUGCUUCUUGGGCCUGAAACUCUGCCUGACGUGUCCUCAUUGGCCGCAGUGUAGGCAGGCGUCCGCCCAUUUUCCCAGACCCGAAUCCAUAGCAGGAGUCCUGGAUUUUCUCUCUCGGGAAGAAGAAACCUUAACAGCUAAUUGAUCGGGGCAUUUUUCGUUGGCCAUGACACCAAAACUUACUAGGAGUAGCAAAUGUGGAUGAGCAGUAGGGGAGAUUUUUCAGGAAUAUAGCUUGGUAUAUACUAAAUGUAAUAAUACAAUUUGUUGGAAAUUUCUGGUAUACCCAAUGUAAUAAUACAAUUGGUUGGAAAUAUGAAAAAAAAAUUUCAACCAAUUGUAUUAUGAUAUUUGGUGAACCGAGUCGUUUUCCAACAUACUGAAAAAUUUCUCAAGAAAUAGUGUAUGAGAACGCAAGAAACUUCGAUAAAUAUACUUAUUAGGACACGACAUGUGAGACAUGUGUAUAAAUUAUAGAGUCAAGUGAGACUAAAAUACAUAAGAGUCUCAUGCUUUUGUAAAAUGUGCUCCUAAAUGACGUGUUAUAUGGACCCAACUCCACAUCCAUAUCCCCAAGUUUUUCUCAUCUAAGAGAACCACCUUAGCUUAUGACAUGUGUAGCAAUCUCUCUCUAGGAUUCACAUCUAAAGGCAUUGGAUCCAAUGCCAUUUGUGGCCAUGUGAGCUUUUCUUAUGCAAUUCCUUCCUUUUUCUCUCUUAAUUUGCUUGUCUUGGUAUUUUCUAAUUAUCUAAUAUCAAUUAUGGAAACUUUUGGAACACUCCUCUAAUGGUUUAAUUAAUUAUUGCUUCUAAAGUUCAGUUCUUUAUUCUCUUUACUGUCUGAGUACCCAACUCACCAACCGGUAUUUAAUUAGUGCAUUUAUCCGCUUGAUUAUGUACUAAUCAGAAUCAUAUCCUUUCUUUCUCUUUACUUUCCACUUUAGUUUUAGUUACUUGAUGCAUUGAUCAUUGACUAAUUAUAAUCCACCACUACUUGGUAAGAGCUUUUUUUUUUUUUUUUUUUUUUUUUUUUUUUUGUAAUUUAUAACAAGGAGAAGAUUAACUACAAUCUGACGAGAAGAAGAUUAAACCCGUGAUUUAAGGAGUUGAAGAAAAAAUACGGUAAUCACUAAGGUAAUCCAUCACUUAUACACAACAAAACACUAGUCAAGCAUAACUACACACCAGGCAGCCUUCUCGGUUCUAAUAACUAUAAUUAGUUUCACAACAUCGGCAUGAUAUGCAAAAGAAGCUUAAUUUGCAAGCAUAUAGCAUACAUAACCAUCAUCGUUGAAAUCCAUACAUCAGCAUACAUGUUCAAAGUUCAAAUCAUCCAUCCAUACAUACACACAUCCCGACAUAUCCACCAUGCCCAUCUCACCCAAAGAGAAGAAGCCAAAAGAUAAAAUCGAAACCCUAAAUCAGACACAGUGCAUCAUGAACAAGGGCCACAUGAACAACUGACCACAUGCAUGCCUUUUAACCCUAGCACUGACCAACUUCCAUAAAAACAAAACAUACAUAUUGGUUAAAAAAAAACCCUUUUAUUAUCCAGCAACUUGCCCCACACACA
rnacentral:lncRNA from 1 species